rnacentral:lncRNA from 1 species
GGCCUUACAUAAAGCUGAUGGUCAUCUGCUGGAUGGUGAUACCGCAUUUUGAUGGUUCAUAUUAUGUCUAUCAACACCUAGUUCAUCCAUGCUUGUCCAUUGAUCCACAAGUUGUCAUGAAUUGGCUUUUCAAUGAAUCAAAAAAGAAGUUUCAUAGCAGAGAAAACUUUCUUGUUUCAGCAGACCAAUAUAUUAAGGAGAAUGGACCUGAAGCUUUGAAGAAACUACUUGCUAGGAAGGUAUGCCAUUAUAAGUAGGAUUAUCAACAAGUCAAACAGAGUUUUAUUUGAGAUGUUCAAGUAAAAAAUGACUAUAGCAGGUCAUCUAGAAUUAUGUGGUCUAAAUUCAUGUAUAUAUCUAUAUAUAAUUGUGUUCUCUUUUUUUCACAUAUGCAUGUGCAUUUAGAUUUACAUAAUUAUAUAUGCAUAAUCAGAUUCAACUGUGAUAGCCCGGGAUUUAAUUCAGUAAUCAACUCUUCUGGGAACAUGUUGGUUAUGGUUUCUCUCUCACUGUCCUCUUAUUUAUACAUGACUUUGGCUUCAGUUGAGGAGCACAAAGCCUAAUGUUGAAGUGAAAGAGAUCAAAGCACCUGCAGCACCGGAGAAAAAAGGGGAAGCGGUAUGCACUCUAAUGUGGCUAUUUUAUUUCUAUGGAGGCAGAUCCCCAGAAAAAUGUUGCUCAUGUAAAUUAGUGAUGCAUUUAAAAGAAAAACCACUUUAUGUAUGUUUCUGUGAAAAAGAGAACAAGUUUAUGGAUUAAGUGAUAUUUUUUAUGGUGAAAUAAUCAAUAAUUUUCAAAAUAAUAAUAUAUUCGUGCAUGUUUUUGCAAUUCAUGAAUUCCUUUUACGAUUGAUUCUUCUCACCUCAGUGGAAGUGUGAAGAGCCUAAUGUUGCAGAAAAGGAGAUCCAAGUAGUCAAAGUAACAGACAUAAAAAAUGGGGGGAUGGAGCAAAGAGGGUAAGUUUUCCUUUUUAUUUAUAAGGAAGGCUGUCUUCACACAAGGAUUAUUGUUAUUAUUUUUAAGACAUGAAUGUUGAAUGCAUUUGGAAUUGUCGUUGAAUCAUGUGAAGUGUGAAGGUGCAAAUGGUGCUAAGAAGGAGAUCAAAGUGAUGGAAGUAACACAGAUAACAUUUGGUGAUACAGAACAGUGGGUAAGGUUUCUUGUCAUACUUAAACGGCACCUCAUAUUUCACUAGGAUUAAUUUUGGCCUACAAACAUAUUUGGCUACAAGUUGAAGACAGAUUUCCAGAUACUGGUAGAAGUUGAGACAUAAGUAAUGAAUGAGUUUAGAAACAUGCACAACUCUUGUGUGAAACACAAUGAGAGUGGAAAAUAGCUAAGUUGAAAAAUGGCCAAAUACUAUUUUGUAGUUCCCCCCACCACUUAAGUAAUUUUUGUCAUCCUUUGUGAAUGGACAAUGCAGUCCCUUCAGUAAUUCCGCUAUAUUCAUGACUUGGUGAAGCAUAUAACCAUUAGUGUCUUGUCCUAAGUUGACCUUUAAUGAUGAUCCAUUGAGAGGGAUCUGACUUUUGUCAACCCUCUUAGAGGUUAAACAUACGGGGCUUAACCCACUUUUCAAUCUCAUUGGAUAUAUGGCACGUGGUAUCCUCUUCAUCUUGAAAGAGUGAAGUGGUCAUACUCUUUCCUCCGAGUCCAUCGUGGCCAUGCACUUCUGGCUCAUUGGGCUGAGUGAAAGGAUUCCCUUCUGCUUCAAAUCAUAGAGAGAUAUGCCAUGGUCAGCCUCUUUAAUUUGAAGGAUUGAAGUACUCAAAUCCAUUUCUUUGCAUCCAUCUUAGUCCUGCUUCCAUGUCUCAUGGUUAACCAGGAAGAUCAAGCUUCCAUCCAUGAGAUCAGCAUCUGCAGGGUUAUGACUCCACCCUUCCUUGGCAUAGGAAAGCGAUCAUUAAGCCACAUGUCGGAUGACAGAAGUCGUCAUUCAGGUUAUCUUGAGAACUAGGGAAGUUGGAAUUCUAAUUAUUGCAUAUGGUUCUUGAUGUUUAGCCAAUAUACUAUAGGAUUUUAAGCAUCAUGCCCAUGUGCAUUGUGGUUUUUUAUCAGCUAUAUGGUUUACCAAACUGAGGGAUUGAUUAUAGUCAUAAGUACCCUUUUCCCAUUAAUUUCUUGCAUGUGCUUUGCUGAGAUUAUGUUUUUGACAGUGCUAAUCAGGGCAAACCAACAAACAGCUUUAUGUUAACUUUUACAAACUGCCACAUUUUCAGGUUGAACGAUCAGACAUAAAUCUUGGUGAAACUAGAAGUAAUACAACCUGUGCUGUGGAGAUAAAAGAAAGGGCAGCAGCACUGGUGGCUGCAGAAAUUGAGGCAUGUAGAGACAAUAGAACCCCCGAGAUACCUCUGCAUAAGAAAGUCCAGAAAGAGUGGGCUUGUGCUGUAUGCCAGUUCACAACCCAAAGUGAAGUGACCUUCAAUUCCCACCUUCAAGGGAAGAGACAUCAGGCCACUUCUGAGCAGUUGAGAGCCAAAAACCAGGCAACCAAAACCAAUUGUUCCCCAUCUGCUUCAAAGGCCAAGAAAUCUGAUCAGUCCACCAAAGAGGAGCAACCAAAGUGUCCUUCCAACAAUCUGAAUUCCAAAAACAAUGGAAUCUCAGCUGCUUCAACAGUGAAGAAACCUGACGAGACCAAAGAUGAUGAGCAACAAAAGUGUGCAUCCAGCAAUGGACCAAACCAGAAGAAUAACAAAAAGCAAGAGGAGAAGGUGCUAGUUCUUGAGACCAAUGAGCAAGGCCAUCAGAAUAAUUUUGAUCCACGAUCCCACAUUUAUUUUGGGUCUCACAAGUUUCAAAUUUGCAGAAAAAUGAAAGAUGUUUGAGAGAAAAUUAAAUCAUAUUGCACUACUGUUAGGAAAAAUAUGGCUGAAUCCAAUUGCUUUUCUUCUCCAAGUCUAUUAAAAAUAUAAUUUUUUCUCCAUUCCUGACAAAAUUUAAAUUUUUUCCUUAAAAAAAAAAAAAUUAAGUUUGAUCACCUAACACAUCUUUCUAAACUCAAUCUCAACUUGAAAAAUCAAACCUUAAUGGAUGGACUAUAGAAAUAGUGAGAAAACACUUCUGGGGUUUUUUUUUUCUUCCAACAUCAAAUUUUUCUAUAUAUGGGAUUUCACAUGCAAAAGCAGGAGUAGAUUUGCUUGUGUUUGAUGUAUGUAUUAGAAAAAUUUGUCCCUUCUGGGAUGUUUAAUACUUUUCUAUUCUUUUAUAUGCAUGUUUAGCUAGAAGAUAUAGAAUCGAUACCAUUCCUUAAAAGUGAUAGCCACAACUGUGAUAAUUAAACACCAAAGAAUGUGAAGAUCUAUAUAUUCUUUUUUUUUUCCUCUCUCUUUCAAUAAUGAAGCUAAGAUGUGUUGUAAGCAUCAAAUGCAUUGUCUCUGCUUGAAUAUAUACAAAGCCAAGGACCACAAGAUGGAUAGAUAUGGGGACGCACAAAACUUCUCAAACAUGAUUAUAUUAAUCAAGAAUUCAACUAAGCUUAAAUUCAAGAUGUUGAUUUCUAGCAUCUCUGGUGCUAUAGGAUGACUAUUGAUCCUGUACUGUUAUGUGCCCUACUGAUAUAUUCUUCGGGUUGUUAUGUAUAAAUAAAAUUUUUGGGAAAGUUUGCUUGGUGGUUACACUAUCACUAUUUAGGCCAGUAAAAAUUGGAAGCCUUUGUAAAAAACUGAUGGUCCAAGAGCUAUUCUACUUCAUCAUCCAUGUAAUAUGACGAUACAAAUUUGACUAAAUGCAGCUAUAGAAGGCUUAGGACCAUAAACCAAGCCUAGUCGAUGUCACUCACCUAAAUUUAUGCAUAAAGCUUUUGGAUGGCUCAGAGUUAUAUUUAAUUACUGUUAUGUUCGCAACUAUAUUUUCAUUGGAUUUAUAGUCCAGCUUGAGAACUAGUCCUCCAUUGCACAUAAUGUCCACACAAGGCCACAGUGCCCGCUCAAAGGCCAUAGCGCUACUCAAGGAUAUAGUGCUUACUCAAGGCCAUAGAGCCCACCUAAGGCUAACGACCCAAAAGGAGAAAAAGGUUGGUUCCACGUACUCUAAUAUUUACUAGAAAAGGUUCUUCCUAUUAAAGAACAAAAAAUUGCAUUCCCUUGUGACCAAUCCAAACAGUAGACCACUGACUUGUAUAAGGCAUUAUUCACCAUGCAAGCACUUUUUCAGCAACCUACCAUCUGGCAUGAACCAUUUUGGAUUGAUUCACAAAGCAAUGGUGUUAUAUUAAGCAUAUUCAAUAUAGAACCAAAUUGUGCCUCCUUAGAUUAACUAAAAUAUUUCCAUUGCAAGAUGUGCAGAUAGGCAUAUGAUCAUGAAGUAAUUUCCUGAUGAUAAUACCCCACAAAAUAUUUCUUUUUCUCACUGAUCUCUCCUAGAUUUUCAGUUCACCCAUCCAUGGCGCCUGACUAAAAAUGGGGGCAUUUUGGAUACCCCGAGCAGUAAGUUAGCCUGGUAGGCAUCCCGUUGCAAGCAAAGUCAACCCGAGCGGUCCAUUUGACCAAAGCUUAUCCAGGCAGUAAGCGUCCAUAUACAGCUAACUGUUAUGCACCAUCAACAGGUUGAGGUUACAAGAUUAAAGAGUCAUAAUGGCCAAAUGGAAGUUACACGACUCGGCCUAUAUAAUAACAGUAUGACAAAAAAUGCAGGUAUGAAGAACUAUCACUGAAAAAAUUUAUUCCUAAAAAUCCUUUAAGCUCCUUUAAGCUAACUUGGGCAUUGGAGAGGUCUCUCCGAAGCACACUCGAGCUUACCUUUUUGUAAGACAUCGAGAACAAGAGGCAUUGAAGUGAUUGUCCGGAGGGUUGAACUUGGUCGGGAACCAACAAUACACACUAUUCAAAAAUAGGGAUCAUAUUAAAUUAUUAAUGCAACCAUAGGAAGCAAUUGAGGACAAGGGUGUUAUUUGAUUAAAAGGGUAAUUGAAAACCUAAAUUUUGAAAUUUAACCCUCCAUUCUAUUUGGCCUUAUGUGAACAAAAAUGCCUUCAUUAUUUUCUUGUAAAAAUAACUCACCCAUUUAAACCUUACAUGAAAAUACUUAAAAUGGUAAAUGAUAUGUUAAAAAUUGAUUAUUUUUCAAAUAAAACAUAAGAAGGGUCAAAUUCAUGAAAGGAUUAUUUCAUCCCUUUUAAUCAAUUAAUUCGAUUUAUUUCUUUUUAUUUUUUUUCUCUCCAUGUUAAUUUUCACAUCACCCAACAACACCACUCUUAAUUCACACAAGUUUGAAGUUUUUGAAUGAGAUAUAUUCGUAAUUAUAUUGUAAUUGUGUUAUAAUAACCAUUUCGUACUUGGAUUUGUUCUUUCAGUCCAUUUAACCUUUUUGUUUAUUCAUGUCAAAACAAUGUACUUAUAAUCGAAUCCAUUUAUGACAUGUUGAUCUUAUAUAAAUUUAUUAAUUUUAUAUAUUUAAAAAUUAUAAAAAUUAAAUAUACUUUUUCAAUUAUGAAUAUCAUAUUACUAAAAUAUUAAAUAACAAAUUAACUUGAAAUGCUAUAUAUUUCAUUAAUUAUUUUAUAAUUAAAACAUUAAAUGAAAUAAUAAACAAGUAUAAAAUAGAAAAUUCUAUCUUAGUUAGAAAUUAUAAACUGUUAUUGAGACAUAUAAGUAUUAAAAUUCUACCCAUUUCACUACCAAACAACUUAUGUUUUUAGUCAUAAUUUAACCUUAUGAUGAACACUUAAAUAAAAUUUGUCAUCUUUUUCUAUUGAUUUAUAUUUAUUUAUUUAAAAAUUUUGUCUGGCAUAAACUAUCAUCUCACAAAAUCAUCAUUGAUGAGUAGGCUAUGCCCCAGUGUAAGCAUCUCCAAAUCAAACAUCAAUGAGAGGAGUACAACCAAUCAUACAUCAUCUUAUCAAAAUGAAUCUCCGCUUUUCAAAGUCAUCGUGGUAACGUGAAGAGAGUAUUUGACCUCCUCUAAAGAAAAAACAUGUCUUGAUGUGAAAAAGAUCAAGCAAAGUGGUAUGCCUCAACAAAAAUGUGCUCAAACAUGAUCAUGCCCCGAUGUAAGUUAGUAUCUCUAAGAUCAAUCGCCAAUGAAAAGGUUAUUCCCCAGUAUAGGGCAAACUCUGAAAUGACUAAACUCCGUUGCAAGCUCUCAUAAGUGUCUGUGUCAUGAUCCAAUCAUCGCAAAAAUUUGUCAACAAUGAUGAGAAGGCUAUGCUCCUAUAAUCACAUCAAAGAAAUCACUCGGUCAUAUUACUCCAAUGUGAAAGAAAUCUAAUCACCUCCAAGGAACAGCUAUGCCUCAAAACCAUCAUCGACUGAGAGGGGGAUGCCCCUGAUCCAAUCACCACCCUAACUAACGUACCCAUCAUGAGGAACACUUGUUUGAGCUCCAUAAUGGGGAUCAACCAUUAGAUGAACAAGAUUCGAAUAUUACUUGCUCCCCAUUUCAACCAAUGAAUGAUGUACCUGGAAACCUUGUAGACAACCAUAGUUUUCAGCCUUCUUCCUCGCGAUCAUCUAGAACAGAGUCGGUAAGCUUCACUCAUUUCUUAUAAUGGACCUUGACCCACAACGUCGAACUACCUGUAUGCAAAAUUAUCCGUCCAGAAAACCCAUCCAUACAAUUCAGGUUCAAAACCCACAAGAACCACCCUAUGAAUAAACUAAUUAUAGCUGGCUUCGUUGCAAUAGGCAUUAACUUUCUUAUGCUGACAGUCCUAGCAUCAUUUACCAAAGGAUCAACAACUUUUCCAUGUCAGAGAACAUUAUCAAUCACAAUGACACCCCUGGUCCUCACUAGUUGCGAUAGCAAUUUAAAGUAUUCUUGAUUCAAAGGGUAAACAAAACAAAAAAGAAAACCCUAAGUGUGACUCCUUAUUUGAAAAAUGUGGUUUAUGAAAAACCGGAUCGAGCUUAGGGGUCAGGUUACUUAUCGGGAAGGUACAAAAAAAACCGUAGCACCCCUCUAAGUCCCUAAAAUGGGUCUCUAUUGAUAAAAUGAAGCAAUCAUGGCAAUUGGUAAGGAAAUCAUUGAGUAUCAACAUGAUCACACAUUGAGAGUUAAAGCAUGCAUGAGGAAUGGUCAAAGUGAGAAAGGAUGCGUACCUUAGCAACGAGUCCCAAUGCGCUAUCAAGAAAUUGGGUUAGUGCACAAUCAAUAAAUAUAAAAUAUAACACACAUGCAUCACUAAAUAGGGUAAUAAAUCCCCGAUGACAAACCUUGCACUUCACUCAGGUUUAUUUCUACUUCUCUGAUGUUGGGCCCCACCAAAGCUCAUUUUAUUUUGCAUGAAUCAACUCCAAUAACUCCAUUAUUCGGAAUUACGAAAUUUAAUUCUUGCUUAUUUUAAAGCAUUUUAAAAAUAGAGGAGAUAUGAGAAUUGCUCGCCAGAAAAGAAGAUGGCGGCAAAAUUUUAAUGAAAAACGAGUUUUUGGAACCUAAGAAAAAUGUUAAGGAUGGAAAAUUUUGGAGGUUUGAAAUUAAUUAAAAAUUAGAAUUGAGGAAUUUAUUUACAAAAUGGGGUUUAGGAAAAUUAUUUUCAAAAAAAAAAAAUGAUGAAAUGAGAGAUGGCACGUGACACAAGGGUGGCCAUGCUGAAGGCGUUCUCUUCUGGCCCAAGCUGGAAAUGCACUCCAAUUAUCCUUCUUUUCUGGUAUAACACCUUCAUCAAAAUAAAUAGCUUUUGCACCAUACUCUGAUAGACAAGGACCAAUAACAAUGCCUAUAUUUGCCUUAAGUAGACAAAGUAAGUCACCCAUUGAACCUCCAAUAUAAAUUGUCAAGUGCUCUGUGUCAUUACUGCAUCCCUCCUUCAAGAUGUCCUUAGAAACCUAAAGCUUUUCCACGACAUACUCCAUCUUCUUAAUGAUUUCACCCGUGGAAAUGGAUUCUUCACAAGCCAACUCAUUUGAAUAUACUCUCAAAACACCCAUAUCACCUGAUGAAAAUGCUGAUCUAACGAAAUCGCCACACCAACAGUAUGAAAGUCCAUGAACAUCUGCUUUCAGAUUAUUAUUUUUAAGAAUCUUUUGGAAGAAACCUGUGCAACCAUCUUGAAGAAUUAGACCUUGACCAACCUGUUUUAUAUCAUCUGAAUUUAAACCCUUCAAUACUCCAGACUGAGUCACUCUUGAAUCUGCCUUUUCCUCAAAAUCAGAAAGUUGCUCAAGUGCUUUACAUAAGCCUUCAUAAUUGAAUUUUUCCACUGUUUCACUGGGGACGAUGCUUCCCAUGCAUUUUUCAAGCUCUUCAGUAUGCUGGGUAGAUAGAACACCCCAUGUGUGUGUCCAGAUCACCAUGAGUGACCAUUUGAACCUUGACGAAUGAGAGAGUACAUAACAUUUAAGCACACAGGACAUAUAUUAACAUUCUCCAUUAGCUUCUCUUUGCCUUUGUCCACCUCUUGACCUCCCAUGCAGCCAACUGUGAAGACCACGUCCAGGUGCAGUCACGUGGUGACACAUCUCAUGGUCUUCCUCAUCCAAUAAAUCACAUGCUCUGUUAAAUCUGCUACCCGAAUGGAUACCUCCUAUCCAUCAACCUGAAUAUACUCCGAGCUUUCUUCAUAAAACCCAAGAAACUCCAGAAGGCAUCAUGGUUCUCCUCCAUCAUUGAAAUGAUUAGGGAUAGUAAAUCACUCAUCCCUUAGCAAUAUCCCAUUUUUAAACCAUAGGGUGCGUAGGCUUCUAGAAUAGUAGCAAAGUGAGCAACACGGAAAAUCUUGCGUGGAUCCAAGUUCCAUGAUGGUGAUCGUAGCCUCACCUUUGAAAUCACAAGACCCAGAACCCAUUCGUUCUUCCUGGUAAUAACUAUCAGAUGCAUAGGAGGCAGGGUUCUUCAGAUUGUUGAUUUGGUAAAAGCCUCUUCUGGUUGAACCCCUGAAUGAUUCACUUUUCUCAGUCCGCAAACCUAGUUCAGAACAGCCCGCAAGAUCAGAACCUUAACCUAGGCGUGGAGAUCCAGUGUUGUAUAACGCCUCAAUUGUCGGAAGCAGCCAUGGCCCAAACAAUGAUAUAAUGGUCAGCAAGUUGUCCCCAAGGACCAUGACAGUGAUGAGCAUUUCCGGGCAGCGCGUCACCACGUUCCACGUCGCGACGGUAAUGGCUAUGGACUGAGUGUCAUGGUCAGGGAGCUUGAUGAAGCAGGUGAAAAUCUGGUGUUUUAGAUUCUGAGGCAAUGACUGCUUGAUCGGUCGGAUUCUAGUACCGGCGUUACAUUGGGGAGGCAAUCUUAAAGUUCCAACGGAGGUAGUAGUGGACUAAUAUUCCUCAAUAACCAAACUUGAGUUUCUCACUUUCCGCUUCUCAAGGCAUUCACCUGAAACGCUUCAGGCGCCCAAACCCUUUCUGCUCAUCAGUAUAAUCACGCGCAUGAAAGUCUUAACUGCCUUCUAAACUUCACAACUUCAUCUUGCAUCUGGGUCAUCGUCGGCACGAACUUAUCACCUGAUUCAGUUAAUAUCCCCAUAUAACAAGUUCCAAUGAAGUCGCAACUUUGCAUCUUCUUUUCUGCGAUUACUUUGAUUCUCAAAGCCGAUUACUUGUUGCAGUCCAUAGGAGAUUCAAUAAUCAAACAUCAUGCACAAGCAAAAAGGCAACAAAAUACAUCGGCAUGUGGCCCAUACACCCUCCAAAAUCUUCACUCAUUUAGUAAGUUUUAGAUUCAAAAGAGUUAGCCUUCUGGUGAGCAACCCGAUACCCAUAACGAAUGAUGUAUCUGAAACACCUUUCCCACGUGGCCCUUGAAGGAUUCACUAGAAGGUGACCAUGCAUAGUAGGUCUUCACUCGCAGGAGAAUGAGAAGGAAAUAAACCUAAAGGGGGGUUGACAGCGUAGUCUAGAAGGUGAUGAGCUGAGCGGGUGGGGGUAUUAGGGUGGUCAAGUUCAGUGGGUAUGAAGGGUGGAAAGAUGGCAUGAUAGAGGAAUAAGCAGCUGAUAGUGGGUGCGAUGAUAUAAGGUAGGUUGACUAUGGAGAGUAUGGCAUUAAAGGAUGAAGACUUAGAGAGAGAGAGGUGGGUUUAAGGGUAUGGUGAGAUGGAGGGUUGAGGGUGAUAGGCUUGGAUAGUUGCAUGAGGAGGAUGAAAGGUGGGUAUGGAAAAUGUGCAUGGGUAGGAAAUGGGUAUAACAAUGGGUGUGAAUAUUGAGAGGUAGUGAAAUGAAGGCAGCCUUGCUCGUAUGGAUCAGUGUCGGAUUGAGUUAAGAAUGGUGAGAGAAAGGGAUUCGAUGAAUAUUGAAUGAUGGAAAAUGGUGAUUGGUUAGAUAGGGAUUUGUGGUCGAAUGGAAAUAGGAGACAUGAACAUAGAGAUGAGUGUGAUGGAUGAUAGUGGGCAUGAAGGGUAUUGGAUUUGUUCAUGGGUAUAGUGGUUAAAAGAGUGGUGAGAAGAAAAAAAAAUGGCCAUGUAAAUAGCAAUUAUACAUGUGGGCCCGUGAUUGCAAACGGGACUGCAUUGUUGCAUCUCAUGCUGAACCCUCACCUCCUUCUAGGAUCAUUUUCUGCAUCAAAGCUAGAUAAACUUAGAUGGUAUUUCCUGCCAAUUUUGGAUGCCCCCCACUUUGGAAAUAUUUCCUUUUCACCCAUCAGAAUAUGCUUAUCAGGUGUACUUGACUCAGGUUCAUUCCCAUAUUGCCUCUCUGAUUUAUGAUCUUCAAAGGUUUUGCAUGAAGGAAGCCUUUCACUGCAUUCCCCUUCAUCCACCAGACCUUCAGAGCAUCGUUUCCAACAAAAGCAACCUUGACUCUUCUAGUCCCAUCAGAAAAAAGUCUGAAUAUCCUCAGUUUAUGUCAUCCCUUGAUGCCCAACUCAGAAAUGAUCCAAAAAACAGUCAUCUCCCAUAUUUGGCUUCCCAGAAACACCUCGACUCAGAUGGCCAGUCCAAAUGUGAUACCCAACAUUCUAAAAAUGCUAAAAACAGAGGAGAUGAUGAAGAAAAACAGAGCAUGUAUAAAAGAAAAAAAAAAGGACUGUUAAAUCUCACUCCAUUCCAUAAAUGCUAAUGGGGUGGAUAUGGUGGAAUCAAAAGGAAGCAAGAGCGUGAUCUUCAAAAUCAAAAGCAAUGAUGGAUCCAUAUUCAAAACGUUCCAGAAUAGAGAAAGACACAAAUAAGGAGCAGGGUUUUUUUUUGUUACUGGCAGGAAGAUAUUUUUUCUAGAGAGUAACUAGAGAGAAAAAUAGGAAGAAAAGGGAAGAGCAUAGAAGACAUCUACAUAGGAGAGUAUUCAUUGUUGUGAGGAGUAGUAGAGAGCUUAGGAGGAGUUACAAAGAGAGUGAGUUUGGUUAGAGGAGGAAGUUUUGUUGGUUUUUCAGAAAGGAUUCUAGCUUGAGUGAGAGCCAUUCUAGAGAGGGUUAGAGAGGAGAAAGGUGUGUUUUGAGCAGCAAAGACACGAAGCAAAAUAGAGCAGCCAGGAAAGAGAAGCAGAAAAUCAAAAUUACUAAAAAAUUAGUGAAAGCUGUGAAAUUUCAUAUUGUUACUAAUUAUUAUAAUUUUUUUUUGUAUUUUCAAUAUUUCAACCAAUAUUUUAUAUAAUUAAAUUUAAAUUAUAAGAAUUAUAUUAUUAAUACACAUAACUAUCUUAAUGUUUUAACAAUGUAUACUUAUUUAAAUUUAUUUCAAUUUUUUUAUUUUUUUAUAAAUAUCUAAUUAGACUUAUAAUUCAUUGAAAUUAUUCAUUUUUUUUUUACUUCAUAAACCAAUUAUAUUACUUUUUGUAUUUUCAAUAUUCAUUUGGAAAAAAUAAUUUCAAUUUAAAAUAAAAUAAAUUAAUUAACUCUCAAUUUAUAAAUUGUGUCAUUGAAUUAUUUUUUAUUUAUAAUAUUUAGUUUAUUUUAAAUUUAAUUUUUUUUCUUCACCUUUUGGUUUAUCACUUUAUAUUAAAAAAUAAAAUAAAAUUGAAUUUCUUUUAAUUUAUAUUUUCACAAAUUAUUCAAUAUUUUUUUAAUUUUUAUAAAAUAAAUCCUCAGAUUAUAUAAUUGGAUGUUGUAAAGAGUUAAAAUUUUUGUGUUGCAUUGAAUUAUUUUUUCUAACAAAAGUAUAUUUGGGUACCGUAGACAUUAUAUCCAUAUCUUAACGUAUUAUAUACUUUUAUUUUGUGCAAUUAGCAAUUGAGCGGAAGACGCGGAGCCGGCUAACGGAAAUACCGCGUGUCACGCGUGUCCCUUCCCGUACCAAGUCUCAACUGCUUCAAGAUUUCCGACGCGCCCUUCUUCGCUUAACUCUUAAGUCUUUUCUUCCACUCUUCCUUAAACCCAUCACAUUUCGCCGCGUGGACCUAAGUCUCAAUGUCCUUGUGUUCAUACGAUGUAUGUUCCCCCAAUUCCUCAUCUACACUGAAACUCCAUACUCGCCUACUCAAUCACUUCUCUACUCUAGAGUCUGGAUGCUUAUCUCUGCGCGUGUCGAUGGCUCUUCACCCCAGCGAGUAUGGCAUUACAAGGGCAAUAUCGUCAUUAAAGACACAACAGAGUGUCUAUUUUAUUUAAGCUGUACGUAAUCGUGAUUGACUUCUUAGUAUCCUUUUGCUCCUAGUCUUCUCCCGCGUCUCUUAUAAAAACUAAAGAAAACCACUCCAAGAGAGCACACUACAAGAAUCUUCUUCCUUUUUUUCUUUCCUCUUUCUCUUUACAGAUAAACUGAGAAAGCCCAGCUCAUCCCUCAAUUCCCAGAUGGGUUUCAUGAAUGUUCUCAAGUUCUCAGCUGCAUGCUUUGAUCUUCUUGGCUGGUAUGUUGUCCACGCGUUUUCUUGCCAUUGGAAAUUUUUGGGAAAUGAAGUGGAAUUCUCUGUUUGAGGACAAACAUGGGAUUUUCUUUGAUUUCUCCCUGUUGGUUUUAUCUAUAUUCUUUGAAUUACCCACAUUCUUGUCAUUGAUUGUUAGUCAUUUGUUUGGAUUUCUACUUGCAGGCCUCUAUGUGCACUGGGUUAUCCUCUGUAAGUCUUGGUCUUACACCUCAAGAUAUGAUGAUUCAUUUACUCUUUUCUUGUUCUACGAAUGGUUCAGUUACAUUUAUUGUGUUGGGAAACUGAAAAGGAAAAGGAUUAUUAGUUAUUAUCGUAAUAAUCAUCAACAUCAUCUCGGUUCUUCACAGAUGUGCUUCAAUUCGGGCAAUUGAGACUAACUCAAUCUCAGACUUUCGGAAGUUGGUGGCGUAUUGGGUUCUAUUUUCCUUGAUUUCACUCUUUGAUCAUGCUUUUUCCAAGCUCCUUGAAUGGUAAUUUUGCUCAACUGCAUUCCACUAUAUGUGACUCUGUUUGUUUCAUUUCUUUGCCCUUAAGGAAUUUGGAGUUGCUUUUUUCAGUUUUCUUUCCUAUGAAAAUAAUCGAGAGGUCUCCAUGUAUUUUAUAUUCCUUCAUUUCUCUGCUUUGACAAAGGCCCACAUUCUGAUCAGCAGAAAGGUUAUAACAUUUGAAAAAGAAGUGCUUUAUUUUUGUUUUUUGUUAGUACAAUAAUUUUCGUUUGGAUAAAUGGUCUGAAGGGUGUUUGUGUUUGGCUGAGUUCAUGGAAUUUUCUAGCUAAUUUGGGAUUUAUUCUCAAUUUCAAGAUCAUUGUGGAUAUGUCAGAAAUUAAUGAAAUAUAAACGGUGGAAUGUGAUUUUCUUGUUUAAGAAAAGUUUUUCUUUGAAAAUACGGGUGCACCUGACCUACCUUAUUGUGCUACUUGGAACACAAAACAUUAGUACAGGUAAUUUAUUAACUAAAUUGUACACUUUUUGAUAGUUCAAGGAGGUGGUUUUCUUCUUUUAGGGUGUCAGCUUUGGAAAUAGGAUGGAUCUAAAAGUUUUUAUGUCUCAUCUUUAUAGGGAACUUGAAAGCAUGGAUGCACUUAUUUCCAUGGAAUUUGGCUUCCUUGAAAUCAAAUUAAGCUUUAUGCAUCAUUUGGAUGCUGAGAAACAAAUGGAAAUAGAAAAUUCAGAAUCUGACAAGUUUUUGUAGGGCAACUGGAUCUAAUCUCUUAGUCGAAGCCUAAUUGGGGCAAAUGCUGAUCAUCUUUGGACCCCAUUGAAAGCUCUAAUCUGUGCACAAUUCUAAUGUUUUUGUUUUCUUCAUUUCUUUUUCAACUUUUCACAAUAGAUGUCAAAGGUUAAAACCAAAUUUACGCAGUCCAUCCAAGUGGAUGCAUAUAAAUUUAACAGAAACUGAAAUUCGAAGAAAUUUAUUUUCCCUUUUGUAAAUGGUGUUUAAAUAUUUUAUUUUCUUAUAUAAUGCAUGUCAGGGUACCAUUCUGGCCUUACAUAAAGCUGAUGGUCAUCUGCUGGCUGGUGAUACAGCAGUUUGAUGGUUCAUAUUAUGUCUAUCAACACCUAGUUCAGCCAUGCUUGUCCAUGGAUCCACAAGCUGUCAUGAACUGGCUCUUCAAUGAAUCAAAAAAGAAGUUUCAUAGCAGAGAAAACUUUCUUGUUUCAGCAGACCGAUAUAUUAAGGAGAAUGGACCUGAAGCUUUGGAGAAACUACUUUCUAGGAAGGUAUGCCAUUAUAAGUAGGAUUAUCAACAAGUCAAACAGAGUUUUAUUUGAGAUGUUCAGGUAAAAAAUGACUAUAGUAGGUCAUCUAGAAUCAUUUGGUCUAAAUUCAUGUAUAUAUCUAUAUAUAAUUGUGUUCUCUUUUUUUCACAUAUGCAUGUGCAUUUAGAUUUACAUAAUUAUAUAUGCAUAAUCAGAUUCAACUGUGAUAGCCCGGAAUUAUUUCAGUAAUCAACUCUUCUGGGAACAUGUUGGUUAUGGUUUCUCUCUCACUGUCCUCUUCUUUAUACAUGACUUUGGCUUCAGUUGAGGAGCGCAAAGCCUAAUGUUGAAGUGAAAAAGAUCAAAGCACCUGCAGCACCGGAGAAAAAAGGGGAACAGGUAAGUUCUCUAAUGUGACUAUUUAAUUUCUAUGAGGCAGAUCCCCAGAGAAAUGUUGCUCAUGUAAAUUACUGAUGCAUUUGAUUCAAUGGCAUGGUUUUAAAAGAAAAACCACUUUAUGUAUGUUUCUGUGAAUAAGAGAACAAGUUUAUGGAUUAAAUGAUAUUUUUUAUGGUGGAUUAAUCAAUAAUUUUCAAAAUAAUAAUAUAUUCGUGCAUGUUUUUGCAAUUCAUGAAUUCCUUUUAUGAUUGAUUCUUCUUGCCUUUUUUCUCACCUCAGUGGAAGUGUGAAGAGCCUAAUGUUGCUCAAAAGGAGAUCCAAGUUGUCAAAGUAACAGAGAUAAAAAAUGGGGGGGAUGGAGCAAAGAGGGUAAGUUUUGCUUUUUAUUUAUAAAGUAGGCUGUCUUCACACAAGGAUUAUUAUCUUUAAGACAUGAAUGUUGAAUGCUUUUGGAAUUGUCCAUGAAUCAUGUGUAGUGUGAAUGGCCUAAUGCUGCUAAGAAGGAGGUCAAAGUGACAGAAGUAACACACAGAACAUUCGGUGGUACAGCACAGUGGGUAAGGUUUCAUGUCAUAUUUAAAUGGCUCCUCAUAUUUCACUAGGAUUAAUUUUGCCCCUACAAACAUAUUUGGCUACAAGUUAAGACAGAGUUCCAGAUGCUGAUAAAGUUGAGACAUAAGUAAUGAAUGAGUUUAGAAACAUGCACAACUCUUGUGUGAAACACAAUGAGAGUGGAAAAUAGCUAAGUUGAAAAAUGGCCAAAUACUAUUUUGUAGUUCCCCCUACCACUUAAGUAAUUUUUGUCAUCCUUUGUGAAUGGAAAAUCCAGUCCCUUCAGUAAUUCCGUUAUAUUCAUGACUUGGUGAAGCAUAUAACCAUUAGUGUCUUGCCUUAAGUCGACCUUUAAUGAUGAUCCAUUGAGAUGGGUCUGACUUUUGUCAACCCUCUUAUUCCCUUGAUCAUAGAGGUUAAACUUAGGGGGCUUAACCCACUUUUGAACCUUAUUGGAUAUAUGGCACAUGGUAUCCUCUUCAUCUUGAAAGAGUGAAGUGGUCAUACUCUUUCCUCUGAGUCCAUUGUGGCCAUGCACUUCUGGCCCAUUGGGCUGAGUGAAAGGAUUCCCUUCUGCUUCAAAUCAUAGAGAGAUAUGCCAUGGUCAGCCUCUUUAAUUCAAGGGAUCGAAGUACUCAAAUCCAUUUCUCUGCAUCCAUCUUAAUUCUGCAUUCAUGUCUCAUGGUUAACCAAGAAGAUCCAGCUUCCAUCCAUGAGAUCAGCAUCUGCAGGUUUAUGACACCACCCUUCCUUGGCAUAGGAAAGGGAUCAUUAAGCCAUGUGUUGGAUGACAGAAGUCAUCAUUCAGGUUAUCUUGAGAACUAAGGAAGUUGGAAUUCUAAUUAUUGCAUAUGGUUCUUGAUGUUUAGCCAAUAUACCGUAGGAUUUUAAGGAUCAUGCUCAUGUGCAUUGUGGUUGUUUAUCAGCUAUAUGGUUUACCAAAAUGAGGGACUGAUUAUGGUCAUAAGUACCUUUUUCCUAUUAAUUUCUUGCAUGUGCUCUGCUGAGAUUAUGUUUUUGACAGUCCAAAUCAGGGCAAACCAACAAACAGCUUUAUGUUAACUUUUACAAACUGCCACAUUUUCAGGUUAAACGAACAGAGAUAAAUCUUGGUGAAACUAGAAGUAAUACAACUUGUGCUGUGGAGAUAAAAGAAAGGGCAGCGGCACUGGUGGCUGCAGAAAUUGAGGCAUGUAGAGACGAUAGAACCCCCAAGAUACCUCUUCAUGAGAAAGUCCAGAAAGAGUGGGCUUGUGCUGUAUGCCAGGUCACAACCCAAAGUGAAGCGACCUUCAAUUCCCACCUUCAAGGGAAGAGACAUCAGGCCACUUCUGAGCAGCUGAGAGCCAAAAACCAGGCAACCAAAACCAAUUGUUCCCCAUCUGCUUCAAUGGCCAAGAAAUCUGAUCAGUCCACCAAAGAGGAGCAACCGAAGUGUACUUCCAACAAUCUGAAUUCCAAAAACAAUGGAAUCUCAGCUGCUUCAACAGUGAAGAAACCUGAUGACACCAAAGAUGAUGAGCGACAAAAGUCUGCAUCUAGCAAUGAACCGAACCAGAAGAAUAACAAAAAGCAAGAGGUACAGACCAAUGAGCAAGGCCAUCAGAAGAACUUAAAGCAAACUGGCGAUGGAAUGAAAGAGUUGAGAUUAUGCUGCAAUAUCUGUAAUGUAAGCUGCACAAGUGAGCUUGACAUGGCCUCUCAUCUCAAUGGAUGGAGGCACUUUAAUAUGAUAAAGGAGGCGUCUGAAUUAUGGUGCAGUAACUGCAAUGUAAGGUGCAACAGUGAGGCUGUCAUGGCCUCUCACCGAAAUGGGAGGAGGCACUUGAAGCAGCUGAAGGAACGGUCGGGAUUAUAGUGCAGUAUCUGUAGCGUGAGAUUGUGUUAGGAAGAGGUGGAAUGGGUUCCAAUCAGGAAUUAAGACUCGGUUCCAAGACAUGGAAAGUGUCUUUAGAUUAUGUUAUCUCCAUUUUUUUUAUUGUGAGAGGGGAGUAUAAGGAAUGAAAAUAAAUAUAUAUAUAUUUUUUAAUAGAGAUGAAUUUGAUAAUUUUAAUUAUUGUGUUUUGAUGUAUUUAGGAAUGUAAAAUUAAAAUAAUUAUUUAUUUUCAUUUUAGUAUUUGACAAUAAUAAAAUUAUGAAUUAAAAAAUAAUGUGAUAAUAAUACAUUUAUAUUUAAUUUAAAAUAUUUUUUAUUUUAUUUUAGAAGAAUAUGGGUUAAAUUCUUUUUUUAAAUAAUAAGCUUAAGAAAAAUAAUUUUUACUCAAUAAAUAAAAUUAAUCAUAAAAAGUCAUAACAACCUAAUAAAAAUAUAGGGGUAAAAUAAUAAUUUUAAAAUAUUAUUUAAGUUAUCCAAACAAAUUUGACUCUUCAUUCUCUCUCUUGAACCAAAUACGGUCUUUUAAGCGUUUGUCAACUUAUUUUUUUUUGCAAAAUAUCAAUAUUUUACUAAUAUUUUUAUCGAUUAUUUGCCAAUAUUUAUCGCCACGUCACCAAUUCUUUGAGUUUGACUUUCAAAAUUUUGAAAUGAUAUUUGAAGUCCAGUUCAGCCCAAAUCACUACACCCAUGAUUUUUCCCUUUUCUUUUUCUCCUUAAUUUUCACAUCACCCAACAACACUACUCUUAAUUCACACAAAUUUGAAGGUUUGGAACGAGACUUCUUCCUAAUUAUAUUGUAAUUAUGUUAUAAUAACCAUGUCGUAUUUGGAUUUAUUUAUUCAGUCCAUCUAAAUCUUUUGUUUAUUCAUGUAAAAAGAAUAUAGUUAUAAUCGAAUCCAUUUGUGACAUAUUCAUCUUUUAUAAAUUUAUUAAUUUUAUAUAUUUAAAAACUAUAAAAAUUAAAUAUAUUUUUUCAAUUAUGAAUAUCAUAUUACUAAAAUAUUAAAUAACUAAUUAACUUGAAAUGUUUUAUAUUUCAUUCAUUAUUUUAUAAUUACAACAUUAAGUGAAAUAAUAAAUAGGUUAAAAUAUAUAUUUUAUUUUAGUUAAAAAUUAUAAAUUGUUAUUGAGACGUAUAACUAUUAAAAUUCUACCCAUUUGACCAUCAAACAAACAACUUAAGUUUUUAGUCAUAAUUUAAGCUUCUGAUAAACUCUAUUUCCAUAAAUUAGAAACCGAAAUCAAUUUCUUCUUAGACUCAAAAACAUAAAGACAAUCUUUUAAUUCUAGAAGACAUCUAUCAUUUAAGAUAAGGGUAACAUAUCCCAUUGCCUAAACAACAACUCUUGCUUCAAAAGCCAAUGUCAAGUACAUAUCCCUAUCAUUCAACCUUUCCCUUAGCUAAAACCCCUAUAAAGAAUUAUAAACAUAAUCAAUGGCUCCAAAAUUUAUCCACCAAGAGUUAGUGGAAUCCAACACUAAACAUAAUUCAACUAUAAGAGAAUGAUGCAUAGUUGACUAUCUCUUCAAGAACUAAGGACAUUCCUUCUUCUUCUAAUGGCAUUUUUUACCACAAAGGAAACACUUGUCAUGACCCUUACUCUUCUUCUUCUUCCCCUUAGCCUUAAACUUCCCCUUCUGCUUGAUGAACUCUAUAGUGUUCUUCUUAUUUUGGCUAGAAAAACCUAAAGAACCCUUAACUGCCAUAUAAAUACCUCUCUGGUCCUUGAGAAUUCCCUCAGUCAUUUUGUGUUCUCUCAUUAGUUCAAUUGUAGUUUAAGAAAAAUAAUGUUUUUUAUUUUAUUUUAUGUGAUUGAACUUGGAAUGAAUUUCCAAGUUGCAUACAUACUUGGGUUGAGAUCAAGUCAUAACGUAGUUUAAGAAAAAGAUUUUUUAUUUUUUAUGUGAUUGAACUUGGAAUGAAUCUCUAAGCUACCUACGUAUCCAAGAUGGGAUCAAGUUCUAACAUAGUCACAAUGCAGUUCAAGAUUUUUUUUUUUCUUUUUUUGUGCUCUAACUUUUGUCAAGACUAAAGAUCUUAAUCUUGCAAGCAUGUCCUAACUUUUGUCUAGGUCACCUUUCCAAGUUUUCAACUUAGCAAACAUUUUUUUUUUUUGUUCUCUAACGUUUGCCAAGACAAAAGAUUUUAAUCUUGCAAGCAUGUCAUAACUUUUACCUAAGUCAGAUUUUUAGGUUUUCAAUGUGGUGGAUUUUUUUGUUUUUUAUUUUUUAUUUUUUAUUUUUUGUGUCGUAGGCAAUUUAGCUCAUACGGCCCAGAAGCGAUGUGUAGUUUGUUGGGAUUCAACCCUUAAAAGCAAAACAUGAUGUAACAAAGUUAGACUUAACUAUCCCCUUGCUAUCAUUUUGGUGUAUUAACAUUGAUUUAAACAUUCAACUCAUAUUUUACAUUGUACAUGACUUAGGUGCAUUAGGAGUUGCUCAUAAGAUACAUGGAUUCCUUGUAAGUAGAUGAGUUAUCCAUAGUCAGUUCAUGGAUUUGGGCAAUCUAGUAGAGACUGUAAUGCACCACCUCUUAAUUGAAGAGAUGACUUGUCUUGACAGUUGGGAUAGGUUUCCUAUGGUGAGUGCACUAGUAUAUAUGAUGCACAUUGGAUAGGACCUACGGUAAAUCAUGAGCAAAGCUAUCAAUUGUCAUGAUUCACCAAGUUACGAUACUGCAUGGACUCUCAAUCUUGAGAGGACAUUGAACCUGUGCCAAAAUCAACAAAAAGCUUUCACCUAUAGAUGAGACCUUAAAGUGAUCAUAUAUCCCUAUGGAUUGAGUCACUAUUGAUGAAGGUUGGUGGUAAUAGGUAUUCUCAAUAGAGGCACCAUGAUAUCUCAUGAGAUUGAGACGGUGUGUCCCCUUGGGUGAUACAAAGGACAUGUGAUCAUAAAAUCUGUGACCAUAGUAAUUCUUUUAUUGAAAUUUGACAUAUACCCCUUCGAGCUAGAGUAUGUCAGUUGAUUACAUAAUAAGUGGCAUCUAUAACUUAAGGAUUUGAGAGGUAAUCUUGAUAGGUGAUAGCACUACCUUGUUAGAUUAUGGACACCAGUUCAUGGGGAAUCUACAUGCAGUGGAUGAUAUGUCACGAACGCGAGCUUCAUAUCGUUGUUAUUAACAUAGGAUACUGGAGUGCAAUUGAUUCUCUUUAGUAGAAUGUUGAAUCAACUUCAAAAUGGAUUAUGAGGGAGCCAAUACUCCUAUGGGUCUUAAUGGUCCCCACUCUGAGCUCAUAUACCAUGAUGACACAGUUUAUGAGGGUUUGAUUGGCUUUAUGUUCAUUUUUGUGCAUAAGGGCAUUUUGGUAAUUACACAAGGUUACAUAGGGGAUAGUCAAUAAGGUCUUUAGAUUGGGCCAAUUGAUUAAUUAGAUGACCUUAUGUGGUUAAUUAAUCAAUUAUGAUAUGUUUAGGCUAGAUUAAAUGACCCAAGCCUUGAUGAAUUUAAGUCACUUAAGCCUAGCAGAUAACCUUAUAAAUACCCUCUUAUGGGUUAGGGUUUCCUAAUGACUUUCAGUUAAUCAUCUUCCAUCCCUAGAAAGAGAAAGAGAGCCAAAUCUUUCUCCCUUCCAUUGCCCACACUUUGGUAUGCCAAGAUCAUGGUUCAAGUCACUGGGAGGAAGAUCUUGGGUGUACAAGACCUUCGGACUCUUUAAGUUUCUUCUUCGUUGGAUGAAUUUUUAUUUGGGACACAUCUAGAUCAUAAGUAUGUGUUAGAAAAUUUGGCUAAUUCAACUUAAGGUAAUCACUCUAGAGGAGGGGUGAAUAGGGUGAUGAUCUUUUUUUACAAAUUUAAAUUAUGUGAAUGCAAGAGACAAUUAUACUAUGCAAAUAUAUAGUAAAACCAUAUAAAAAUAAUUGCAUAUAAAGUACAAGGGUAGAAAAUAGAGAAUAUAAACACAAGAUUUUUAUAGUGGUUUGGUGCAACUCGGCCUACAUCCAUUCUCCUCUAGCUUCAAUCCCAAGUUUGAGGUUCCACUAAUUCAAGGCUUCCAACCUAACCCUUCAAGCAAUACAAUUGGAUUAUGGUUCCAAUCAAACCUUUUGGACUUUUGGCUCUAAGCACCUUUUACAAUCUUUGAUUCGUGCCUAACUGGUGUUUGCCCUGUUGAUUGGUGUUCAAUCAACUGAUGUGCUUUGAUUUCAGUCCUCAGACGAGAGUAAUCAACAAAAUUUAUAAACCUAUUUCACCAUAUACUAGGGUAGCAUUAGCUAGCAUAGCAUAGUGGCUCUAGGAUCGUCCACAGGGAUGGGUUUUCAAAUUACAAUUGAUAUUAGUUCAAAAACUGAAUUGGUGUUUUUUCUUUUCAAGGUUAGCUUUAAAAGAAAACAUAAGUAUGUGUGAAAAGGUUGGUUUUAAGUGAAACCAAAAAUAAAGUAACUGAAAUUACUUACAAAGAAAAGUGCUUCUUGGAGUUUUAGAUCACUAGGCUCAAGUUCCUUAUACAAAAAGAGAGAUUCCGAUCACUUGGAUCUUUUCCUAGCAUUGGGGAUUUAACAUAUAGUUAUUUCCCGAACCGGUGCGGUACAGAUGCUUCCCCUUAAUGGUUUCAAACACUAAAUCUCUAUCACUGAAUCAUCUUGUAAUGGUUCAUACCUCUCACCUGGUAUUGGUCAUUUAAGGUGAUCAUUAACCUUGGAUUACCCGUCAAAAGCUCGCAAAAGAUAACUAAUGAAUGUCUCCUAGGAGUCCAAAAGCUUACCAAGUGUUGGCUAUUCUAGAUAAUCCUACCUUUAAACCAUCUCCCAAAAGCUCGCAAGAGAUAAACUAGUGGAUCUCAAUGGACGGAGUCCACUUGCCUUACCAAGUGUUGGCCCAAGUGAUUUUAAGGGAUUUUAAGUUAACUAAAAAGAUAAAAACCAUUAACGGGUCACACUUUCUCUUCAUUAAAACCUGAAACAAUGAAACUUCCACUUUUGUAUACGAAACCUUACCUAGCUUCCUUCACUCCAAGAAACAAAAAGCCUAGCCACUCAUCCUCUAGGAAAACAUCCUCAGAGUUUGAUUUGGUAGAAAUAAAAAUAAAAGAGAAAACCAAAUGUGAAGGUAAGGCCGAGCAGAGCUCUGUGUAUUACUUUAUGAAAAACUAUACAAAAUUUGUCUCUAAGAGAAACUCCCCCGAGAUCUCUUUUAAAAGAAAAUUACAAUAGAUAUCAUAUAAAGAGGCUAUUCACCCCUCUUGCUAACUUCCCAACCAUGAAAACUUGUCAAUGGUGGGUUACAAGGAGAAAAUAGGGAUUUACACACAAAUAUUUGAAGAUAAACAUCAAACUGAGUCGGUGCGCAAAUAUCUCAGAUUACAAGUGGAUUUCGCAAGUUCAAACGCAACUUGCAAAAAUUUUGCAAGUUGAAAUUAUGGUUUCGCAAGUUGCGAAAUUGUCCUGCAACUAAUCAGCUCUCUGUCCUACAACAAUUCCUUUCCUCUUCCUAUUUCGCAAGUUGUGAGAAUUUCGCAAGUUGGAUUCCACAACUUGCAAAAUUGUUGGAUGGUUGAUUUCUUUUGUGAUUUUCUUCCUUGCAUCCUCAUUUGGCUUUGGCAAAGGGUUAUGAAGCUCCAAAGCUUAGUUUCUUCAUGAAUUUGAGCUUCAACUUGCUUUGCCAUGAACUAUACAAAGAUCUCCCUCAUUCUUGGAUUGCUUUGGUGAUAAAAAAGCUAUGAAAAACACCAAAACUUAACACAAUUUGAUUAGAAACGAUUGUAAGGGUCUUUAACAUGCCAAUUGAGUUAAAAGGUAAUAGCUACUACUCAAAAGUGUUUAAAAGAGUUAAUUACAAGCUAUAAAAUGACCCUUUUUGAAGUUCAACCCCUUAAGUGAUACCCCUUAAGUGAUACCCCUUAAUUCAAGAGAUGUCUUACUCUUAAACAACCCCUUAAGUGAUACCCCAUACUUGAGAUUCCCUAAGUGAUGCCUCACACUUAGAUUUUUCAUCUCAAAGAUUUACAAAUGAAGAUAGGAAAUAAUCUCACAAAAUCUUAAUACAAAACAUUAGGCUCAAAUGAUACAAGAUAAACUAUGAUUGAAUGGUGCACUAAUAAUAUGCAAGUUUUAAAACAAUGAGUACUAAAAAACACUCUCCUAAGGUUCAAAUAUAUUCAAGAAAGAUUUAAGAAGGUUAAACUCUUGAAACAAUAAAGAUUGAAACCUUUUUAUGGAGGAGAAAUGCCAAACUAGUUGUUGGGGGUUUGUCCAGUCGAGUUCUGGUUUGACCGGUUCACUAACCGUUAGCAUUUAAUGCAUGAUAGGUGAUCAUUGGGCCUUGACCAUCCCUCGACCAGUACUCAACCGGAUAAAGUUCAACCUUAAUCAAUCGAAUAAGCAUUCUAGAAUAGAGAGAAGGUUUUUGCACCUUUCAAUCAGUUGAGUUGAACAAAUAGACGGAUUCCUUAUCCAGUUCAACCGGUUGAGCCAUUUUUGGCUCAACAAUCAUCAUUUUCAACUUAAAACCUUUUAAACAAGUUUAGAAAGCAUUUGACACAAGGAUUUAGUUGAAAACAUUAAAUCAUCCUAUUUUUAAAAGAUUUAAAACAAAAUACCUCUUGAAUGAUUUUGGUGUAUAAGUAAAUAAUGUAAUGCAUGAAAAACCCAGUGCGCCAACAACCUUACAAAGAGAUCUUAUGAGGCUUAGGUAUUGAAAAACACUUCUCUUUAAGGCAGACAACAUCGUGUGAAUACCAAAGGGGAACUCUACGUUCCUAGGGAAAGAUGCCUCGUCAGUACGUCUUGAGGUUGUUCACUAACUUCGGGGUUACCGGCUUUGAGAGGAGCCCUUUGAUGACAUUUGGGCAUGCAACUCUUCAUUUUCUUCCUUGAUUCGCCUUGUUUGGUGGAUCAAAGAUUGCAUAUGCCAGUCAUUUUUGCACUAGGUUCUCUCCAUGCUUUCACGCCAGCCAAAGUAGCUUUCGUUACCCAUAGUUGAGGAUCGGCUUCUAAAGGGUACUAACAUCCUUAGUCAUUCCCACAGAUGACACCAAUGUUGGUUCUGAGUCGGCUGAAGUCAAAUUCAUCCAACUUAACGGAAGUUUGACAACCUUCCUCCAUUUUUUGUGCCUCUUAGAGAAUCCACCUAGCAGUAAUGAGAUUGGGCGAACUCCUUUCUUGCACAAAAGAAUGUUCAGAUGAGUACUUCGGGUACGCCCUUCGAAGCUUAAGUGAGGCAAAAAUAGCUCAAACUACUUAAUGAGAGAGAGUGGAUAGGUGAAUAUGUGCCUACCUUGUUCGUGCUUUUUGAGGGGUUUAUAUAAUGUUGAUGAGAAUGCCACUAUAGUGCUUACUAGACACUUUAACUUUCUUCUAUAAUGAUGAUUGUCUUGCAGGCGGUUGGGCAAUCAUCAAAAUUUUGGGUGGCUGAUAGGUGCCAUCAACUAACGUGCCAUGAUCUUAGACCAUGCAGUAACCUGUUCCCUCAGUCUGUUGAUGGCCUAAGGUUAUGUGCAACAAUUAAUUGACAUGGACUUGAGGGCUAGAAGAGGUCCCAUCGGCCGUUCACAUGUCAAGUGUGAAUGAUCACUCAUGCUAGUGGGUCUUGAAGAUUUGACUAGACAACCUUACCUAUUUGGGAGGUCCAACCUCCCAUUGCCGUUGUUUUGGCCUUAUAGGAGAAAAGGGCUUUCUCAUGUAUGGUGCUAGAGGGACUAGUCGUGAUCCAGAUGAGUUGCAUACCCAUGCUAGAUGGUCGAAGUGUCCGGGUUGGAAAUGGAGGGAAGCCUCCCACAAAUAUGAGGGAGCCUUAUGAAAACGGAUCCUUAGGGCUUAAGAAGGGGUUUUCAAUUUUAAGGUUUGCCUUUUCACCCAAGGAUGUGAAUGGGAAGAUGAGGCGAAGUUAAAAGAUUGGUGAAGCAAAGUGAGGGCAAGGUAGGGUUUGAAUAAAGGAAAGUAUACACUAUUAAUGAAGAUGAUAAUCUCUAGAAAGAAAAACUAAGGUAAACUAGGGCUUUAAUAAUAAUUUUCAAUCUACACUAGUGAAGAGGAUAUCUUCGAAAACCAAAGUUAGGGCUUCAAUAACGAAUUUCAAUCUACAAUGGUGAAGACAAUAAUCUUCGAAAACCAAAUCUAUAAUGAUGAAGAUGAUUGAAAACUAAAUCUAUACUAGUGAAGACGAUUGGAAAGCAAAUCUACACUGGUGAAGACAAUGAAACCAAAUGUAGGUCUUCUAAACUAAACGCUUUUAAGGAUUUUCCUUUUUUUUUUCCUUUGUUUUCAAGAAAGGCAAACUCUUUAGAAAACUAAAAAAACUAAUGCAUUCUUAGAUCCAGAUCACUAUUUCCAACAUGGUAUUUGGAUUGCCAGCUUGCAUUUUUUAUUUUUUUAUUUUUUUAAUAGUCAUUGGCAUUUUAGGGAUUAUUGAAGGAUAAUAUCAUUCAGCUCAAUUUCCCAAAUUAGUUAGGUCUUACACUCAAAUGUGAAACUUAUAUGGAUGUUAGGCCAAUUAUCAAACUCAUCUGCCCUAAAACAUAAUUUCCCUUUUUUAAAAUAGUUGUUAAACAUCUAUCCCAAACACGUUUAACCCUUUGAAUUGCUUGUAUGUUAACCUUGUUUCCUUUUCUUCAUGCAACAUGGCUUAUUGAUGGUUGCAUUGAAUCAUUAUCAUUCACCAAUUCCAUGCAACUAUGGACUACAUUUCAAAUCCCUCGAACAUAAAUGGUAAUUCCAAAACAACUCAAGUAUAAUCUUUUCAACCCUUUCAAAUGAUUUAAUUAAUUGAUUUUUGAAUAUAUUCAUAUAUUUUUUUGAGCAAUUUUUAGGCAUAUAACAUAAAUCUCUUUUUUAUAUAUAUAUAAAAGGUUUUAUAUUUUAUAUUACAAUUUCCUUUUGUUUUUUCAUCUAAAAAACAAAACAUAAAACCUUAAUAAACGAGUUUUGUCACAAUCCCUUAACAAGUAAUCUAUUUUUUAAAUUACUUUAACAUUUUUAGAUAUAUUGAUUCAAUCUAAUUUACUUUUAAUAUUUUUUAUAAAAUAUUUUUACUUUAUAUGACUAUAAAUUAAUUACUAUUGAUUGCAUAUUAUAGAAUAUAUAUUCUAAAAUAUAUCUUAUUGACAAUAUAAUCAUAAGAUGUUAUAUCCAUAUCCUAACAUAUUAUAUACUUUUAUUUUGUGCAAUUAGCAACAUGGUGGGAAGUGGCAAGCAGCUUAACGGAAAUGUCAUGUGCCAAUGUGCCAUGCGUGUCCCUUCCCUUAGUGAGUCUGAACUGCUCCAACAUUUCCGACAUGUUAUUUUUUACUUAGCUCUUAAGUAUUUUCGUCUCGUUUUCGUUAACCCCAUCACAUUUCGCCACAUGGAUCUAAGCCUCAUGGUCCUUUCGUUCGUACAAUGAAUGUUCCCCCAAUUCCUUAUCUACACUAAAACUCCAUACUCGCCAUCUACUCAACCACUUCUCUACUCUAGAGUUUGGGUCCUUUAUCUCUGCACGUGUCUAUGGCUUUUCACCCCAACAAGUAUGGCAUUACAAGGGCAAUAUCGUCAUUAAAGACCCAAAAGGGAAACCAAUGGCAUUAUCUUCCUUUUGGUCUAUUCUAUUUAUAUUGUAAGUUAUUCGUGAUGACUUCUCCCAUAAAAGCUAAAAACCACUCCAAUAGAGCACACUUCACUUCUUCAUUUUUUUUUUUCCAGAUAAGCUCAGAAAGCCCAGCUCAUCCCUCAACUCCCCGAUGGGUUUGAUGAAUGUUCUUAAAUUCUCAACUGCAUGCUUUGAUCUUCUUAUCUGGUAUAUUGUCCACGCAUUUUCUUGUCAUUGGAAAAUUUUGGAAAAUGAAAUGGAAUUCUAUGUUUGAUGACAAAACUGGGAUUUGCUUUGAUUUCUCCAUGUUGGUUUUAUCCCUUUUGUUUGAAUUGUCCACAUUCUUGUCAUUGGUUGUUAGUUAUUUGUUUGGAUUUCUACUUGUAGGCCUCUGUUUGCACUGGGUUAUCCUCUAUAAAUCUUGGUCUUACACACCAAGAUAUGAUGAUUCAUUUACUCUUUUCUUGUUCUAUGAAUUCUUAGUUCUGUUACAUUUAUUGGGUUGGAAAACUGAAAAAGGAAAGGAUUAUUCGUUAUUAUCAUAAUAAUCAUCAACGUCAUCUCAAUUAUUCACAGAUGUGCAUCAAUUCAGGUAAUUGAGACUAACUCGAUCUCAGACAUUCAGAAGUUGGUGGCAUAUUGGGUUCUAUUUUCCUUGAUUUCACUUUUUGAUCGUACUUUUUCCAAGCUCCUUGAAUGGUAAUUUUGUUCAACUUCAUUCCAUCAUAUGUGGCUCUAUUUGUUUCAUUUCUUUGCCCUUCAGGAAUUUGGAGUUGCCUUUUUUAGUUUUCUUCCCUGUGAAAAUAAUCGAGAUGUUUAAUGUUCCAAGCCUCCAUGUAUUUUAUUUUCCUUCAUUUCUCUGCUUUGAUAAAUCCCCAUGAUUUGAUCAGCAAAAAGGCUAUAACAUUUGACAAAGAAAUGCUUUAUUUUGGUUUUUUAAGUACAACAAUUUUCAUUUGGAGAAAUGGUCUAAAGGGUAUCGGUGUUUGGAUGAAUCAUGGAAUUUUCUCGCUAAUUUGGGAUUUAUUCUCAAUUUCAAUAUCAUUGUGGAUAUUUCAAAAAUUAAUGAAAUAUAUAUGAUGGAAUGUGAUUUUCUUGUUUAAGAAAAGUUUUUCUUUAAAAAUUUAGGUAACCCUGACCUACCUUAUUGUGCUACUCGAAACACAAAACAAAAGUACAAGUAAUUUAGUAACUAAAUUGCACACUUUUUGAUAGUUCAAGGAAGUGGUGUUAGCUUUGGAAAUAAGAUGGAUCUACUAGUUUUUAUUUCUCAUCUUUAUAGGGAACUUUCCAUAAUAUAGCUUAUAAAUACCAUAAUCACAGUGAUGAAUAAUUGUCUUGUUUGAAAGCAUGGUUGCACUUAUUUGCAUGGAAUUUGUCUGCGUUGAAAUUAAAUUAAGCUUUAUGCAUCAUUUGGAUGCUGAGAAACAAAUGAAAAUAGAAAAUUCAAAAUUUGACAAGUUUGUGUAGGGAAAUUGGAUCUAAUCUCUUAAUCGAAGCUUAAUUAGGGCAAAUGUUGAUCCUCUUUGGACCUAUUGAAAGCUCUAAUCUGUGCACAAUUCUAAUGUUUUUGUUUCCUUAAUUUCUUUUUCAACUUUUCAACAAAGCAUCAAUUUGCUAUAAUAAAUGAGAACCAACUUGACGAUGAGAAAAAUGACUGGUGAUGAUGUCAUAGAGAAUCGCAGAUGAGAACAACCAAAAAUACUAGGAUUGGUACCACUGAUGGUAAUGAAGAAAACACAAAAAUGGUGCAAAUGGUGAACAGGAAACUCAAAAUGGAAUGGGAAAAGAAACCUAAACAAUAGUCUCCUAUAUAAAGCACACAACAUGUACAUCGAGGCAUCUGAAAGGACACGCUGCCUGAGAAGUCACUCUAAUUGAUGUGACUCCUCAUGACGUGGGUGGUGGACAUAUGUCCCAUGGUGCCAAAAAUUUCAAACACUCAAGCAACCGAAUACUUUCACUUAGUCAUUUAAAGCCUAGCUAGACUCAAUUGCAAGAAUUAAGGGCAUUGUGGGAUGCUCACCACCGUCUAUCAUGGUCCUCAAACACUGUCUGGUGUGAGACAUAUUGGCACAAGAGCCAUGUAGCUUCUCUAUCCACCCCAAGAUACUCCUAGGGUAGCAAACGAACACAAUCCGACCAAACACUAUGCAUUCCUACCCUACAAGCAUUAAUUUCAAUGAGCAAUAAGUGUAUUAACACAUUAAUGAAUGCAACCGUUAUAACGCUAAAACGCCAUACUUUAAGGUUCAUCAAGACACAACAACCAUUAUGGGCCGACAAUUAUUGGCGUUAAAUAUGGUAAUGCGCAAUCAAAGGCUCAAUUAAGGCCCUUUAGAAGACGUUACUAUUGGGCAAAGAUAAAUAACCAUUUUUUACCACAAGAAAGUCUGAUGCCAUUUUUUUCACAAAAACUUUUGCUUAAGUCUUCCAUCUCUAACCUAAGCUUUGAAGGGGUGUACUUGGAAAACCUAUCCGAACAUUCCUUUAUGUAGGUGCAAUCAUCGUUUAUGUCACGCGAAGGCUAGUCAAAGACCUUUAUUGGUCGUGCACCAAUAAAUCUAUUUAGUAUAUCUCAUUUAUCCGUUCAAGUGAGAUGAAGGAGUGACCUAAAGAUAGAUUGGAAACAUCAUAGUUUCUUAUAUUGGUAAGGCAGCAACAACCUCGGCUAGUGCAUCAACCUGCUCGUUUUCCUCUAGGGGUACGCGUUUGAUAAACCAUUCAUUCAAUUUUUCUGUUCAAGUGUACCAAAGAGAGGUAAUGAGCCAUGCAUUCAUCUCAAGCUUCAUAUUUUAGUUAGAUUUGUUCACCCACUAGUUGUGAAUUGCUUUUGAUUUCUACUUUCAUGGUUGUGAGAGCUAAGGCUAGAUCGUCUCAUAAGAAUUGCUUCAUAUUUUGCCUCAAUAUUAGAUACUGGAAAGUUGAGACAGACGACUUGUUCAAUUUGCUCUCCUGUAAGGAAUUGUUGUGUUAGUCCUAUCCUAGCUUCUGAUGUUCUAGAGGCUUCGUCUACAUGGAGAACACGCCAUUGUUCUUCAUUGUUAGACCUUGUCCAUUUUUGGGGUGGUUCGACUAUGAAAUCAAUGAGAACUUGCUAUUUGAGAUACUAAUGAGGUUUGUACCGUAUGUAAUAUUCACUCAAUUUGAUUGCCCAAUUCACCAUUCGACUAGAUAGAUUUAGCUUGUGCAACGUGACCCACAACGGUUGAUUUGUCAAGACCGUUAUUUGGUGCGCCUGAAAAUAUGGACAAAGCUUCUUGGCAGCGAUCCGUAAGUUCAGAGCCAUUUGUUCCACUUAAGAAUAUCGUGUUUUUGUGUCAAUCAUAGCUUUUCUCACAUAGUAAAUAAGUCUUUGUUCAUUACUCUAAUUGUGUGGAAACAAUAUGACAUUGACAGCAAAGUUUGACACAACCAGGUACAUGUAUAACUCUUCUCUAGCUUCAAGACUACUUAAGAUUGGUGGCUUCGUAAGAUACUGUUUGAUGUCUUUAAAGGCAUGCUCACACUCAUCCAUCUAACUAGACAUCUUUGCUCCCUAGAGUUUGCUCAAGAAAGGUCUGAGCUUAUUUAUGAAGCGUGUUAUGAACCAACCUAAGGUGAUUAGACACCCAGUUAGACGUUGCACUUCCUUCUUGCUAGUAGGAGCAGGGAUUUCUAACACUACUUUCACUUGAGCCAGAUCGACUUCAAUACCCCCUUUGAGUCACCAUGAACACAAGAAACUUCCACUCACUUACUCUAAAUGCAUAUUUUAUUGGAUUAAGCUUCAUGUCAUACCUGCACAUUAAACUGAAUGCUUCUUCCAAAUGGAGGAGCUUCUUGGAACGAGUUAUUCUCUUAAUGACAAUGUCAUCGAUAUAGACUUCCAACGUUCGACCUAUCAAGGGCUUAAAAAUAUGGGUCAUCAACUGUUGGUACGUAGCUCCAAUGUUCAUUAACCCAAGCGACAUGAUCUUGUAAAAGUACAACUCCUUAUGUGUAAUAAAUGUCAUCUUCUCUUUGUCAUGUGGAAACAUUGGUAUCUGGUGGUAUCCAAAAGAAGCAUCAAGAAAAGACAACAUUCCAUGCCUGGUUGUGGCAUCGACUAUCUAAUCUAUCUAGAGCAAUGGGAAGCUAUCUUUCAAGCAGACUUCAUUCAUAUCCACGUAGUCUGCGCACACCUGCCAUUUUUCUCCUUUCUUGGUACCACUACCACAUUUGUUAACUAGUCCAAGUAGGUCACCUCCUUGAUAAAUCUUCCUUUUAAUAGCUUCUCAACUUCUAUCUAGAUAAUUUUUUGAUGAUCCAACUAGAAACGUCAGACUUUAUAUUGUAUGGGUCGUGCUGUAGGAAGAAGGUUCAACUUAUGAGAGCUCACCGCUAGGUCUAUUCCAAGCAUUUCCGAAUGAAUCCACACGAGGAUAUCCUUGUUUUUACAAAGCAUUUCACCAACAUUACCACAUUCAUCCCUAGUUAGCAAAAAAUUAGCGUAAGUCAUCUGCUUAUUAUUUUUCGACAAAGAUAGCUAUUGUAAUAGGCUGAUUGCCAAUGAGUCUCUAUCCUCUAGUUUUCCUUCGACCUAAUUCUAUAAUUGUUAUUAGCUCUCUCUUGAUGAUUUGAGUUCAUCUUUAGUUGGGCCUGAACUCCAUCGCCACUUAGUAACACUACUAGGUGGCUAAUUGGAUUCCAUGUGGAUCCACUUACCCAAAUUCUGUCAGGUAGCUCACCAUCUUAUGAUAGGUGGAUGGAAUAACUUUCAUCUUAUGUAGGUACGACAACCUUAUGAUGGUGUUGUACGACGGUAAAUCCUCUACUAUAGAAAAUCAUACGUUGAGAGUAGGCGGGUUGGCUUGGACAAGAAGUACCACGUCGCAUAGUGAUAUUGUGGCAACCCUAUUAAACCCAAACAAAAGUCGAACUAGAUUUUCUAAGGCAGAUGACGAACAUCCCAUUUUCCUGUAGGUUGACAUAUGCAAUAAAUUGGAAUGAUCAUUUUAGGAAGGAUCACUUGAUUAAUGUUAAUUGAAGGGAAAGUGAUUGGGUCAUUGACUGGUCGGGCACUUUCGACAGUAAAUGUGCACUGAACUGCACUUACUCUUUCCCUCCCUGUAGUCGCACAGAGCAUUCGUCUCCUUUGUUGUUUGGAGUGAUAUUUGUCAUCUACUAUUUCCCCAUGGAUAUAGUUAAUCACUACUCGAUGUGUUGUGGGAGAGUCAGGAACUCACUCUGACACUUCACGUGUCAUUUCUUUAUGUCCACCAGUUGCUCAGACAUACAACUUGAGAUGUCCGGUAAUGAUUAGUUUCUCCACCAAGUAGUGCAAAUUUUUGCACUCUUCUGUGGUGUGCCCAUGCUCCUUAUGAUAGAAUCAUCGCAAUCCUCGAUCAUGCUUGGACGAAUCAGUUUUGAUGGGCUCUAGCCACUUGAACUCGAGCAGCUCUCAAAUCAAGAGGAGAAUUCUAUCAUAAAAAAUGGUCAACGGGGUGAGCCUAGGCGAUUAUCAUUGUUGUUGUCUUUCUUGUCCUUGAUUAGUCUAUCUAGACUGGCUUGAGGGCUUUAAGCUCUUAGCCUUCUUUUUUAAUUGCUCGGUUUAUAACCAGGAUUUGUUGAGAGGUUACCUAAACAUCCUCCUCAAGCAUGACAUGUUUGCCCACUCGUCUAAAUAGGUCAUUCAUUGUAGUGGGCAACUUUUUGGCCAUGGACUUGAAGAAUUGAGUGCUUGGACUGAUGAUCCAUUUGAAGAUCUGCAGGAUAGCAUCCAUGUUGUAAGAUUCCAUCUAGAACACCGCUUGUCUGAAUCACUUCAUGAAGUCCCUUAGCGAUUCAUUCUCCUACAUCUGAAUGUUCUAUAAGGUGCUUAUAUUCUGCUUUUGGCGAGCAAAACAUAAAUAAUGGCCCACAAAGGCCUCUAAAACAUCUGUCAUCUGUUGUUGGAAGUGCAUCAGGUGAACAAAAGAGUCACCAUCCCAUAGUAAAUAGUAAAUUUGGGCACCGGAAACCCCUGGGCAGCUCAUAACUAAUGAUAUGUGGGUCAAACGACAUGAAGAGCAUGUCAUCCAAUCAUCUACUUAUGGAGUCAAGAGGGGCUUUUGUCAAUGGGUUAUUUGUCGAUUGUAGUUCUAGUAUUGAACAUUAAGGCAGACGGCUUGGUGAUGCCUCAUCGUUUGAUUGGCCUAAUUGUGCUUUCAAGGCCUCCAAUAUGCAUGGCGAUGCUAGUGUUCUUCUCUCCUGAUACCCAAGAUAGGCUUUCAGGGCAUCUGAGAGACGUAAGCCCCAUUCUUAACCCAUUUUCCAUUUUUCUCCAAUAGAGCUUGCAACCUCUUUCGCUUGAGUUCGAUCGACUACUGAAUGCACUAGUUCAAGUAAUGUUAGCGAACUGCUAGUAGACAAUCCCUCAUCCACUGUUUGUAGAGACGACUUAGUGUAUCAUUGAAGAACUUUCAUUGUUUGGCUUCAAACUACUCUUGAAGUCGUCUAUUGGUUGGAGGUACGAUGACUUUUUUAUCAGCACCCCAUAGCCACUUGUGCUCGUAGCUCUUGGUUCUCUUGCUGUAGUUGUUCUGCCUGUUGGACAGGGACUACAUAGGUUAUUCAUAUUCUUCUUGCUUUUUUUCUAUCUUUCCUUGCCAAGCUUGGAAUCGCUCGUCAACAUUUGCAGAAUGAGUUGCAGGAGGCGUGUUAACCAUCGUGUUUUUUAGGCAUUUGUGGUUGAUUCCCAUAGACAAUGCCAAUGUUGGUGCACGACCAGUAAAAAAAGGUGUUUGGCUAGUCUCCAUGUAACAUAGAUGACGAUUGCACCUGCACAAAGGAAUGUCUGAAUGGGUUUUUCAGGUACACCUUUCCAAAGCUUAGGUCAGAAAUGGAAGACUUAAGCAAGAGUUUUUGUGGAAAAAUUGGUAGCAUACUUUUCUUGUGGUUAAGAAUAACUAUUUAUCUUUGUCCAACUAUAAUAUCUUCUCAGAUGCCUUAAUUGAGCCUUUGAUUGUGCAUUAUCAUCUUUAAUGUCAAUGAUAGCCAACCCAUAAUGGUUGUUGUGUCUUGAUGAACCUUAAAGGUUGGCGUUUUAACCUCAUAAUGAUUGCAUCCAUCAAUGCGUUAAUGCACUAAUUGCCUAUUGCAAUUAAUGCUUGUUGGGCAAGAAUGCAUAGUGCCCGAUUAGAUUGUGUUUGUUUGGUACCCUAAGAGUACCCUGGGGUGGACAAAAAAGCCACAUGGCUCUUGUUCUAACAUGUCUCGACUAGACAGUGUUUGAGGAUCAUGUUAGAUGGUGAUGAGCAUCCCACAGUGAAGACGUAUGAUGAAAGCAAAGGUAGGGCUUCUAAACCAAACGCUUUUAGGGAUUUUUUUUUUUUUUUCAACAAAGUUGACCUCUUCAAGGAAAAAAAAAAAGGUUAAAAAAACUAUUGCUUUUUUGGAUCCAAAUCACCAUUUCCAAUGUGAUAUUUGGAUUUCCACCAUGUAUUUUUUUUUUUUUUAACAGUCAAGGACAUUUUAUGGAUUAUUGAAAGAUAAUAUCUUUCAACUUAAUUUCCUACAUUAAUUAAGUCUUAGGCUCAAAUGUGAAACUUAAGUGGUUGUUAGGCCAUCAAACCCAUCUGCCCUAAAGUAUAAUUUCCCAUUUUCAAAAUAUAUAGUUGUUAAACAUCUAUCCCAAACUAUUGUAACCCUUUGAAGUGCUUGGUAUGUUAACCUUGUUUCCUUUUCCUUAUGCAACAUGGCUAAUUGAUUGUUGCAUUGAAUCAUUAUCAUUCACCAAAUCCAUUCAACUAUGGACUUACCUUUCAAAUCCCUCUAACAAAAAUGGUAAUUCCAAAACAACUCAAGUCUAAUGUUCUCAACUCUUUCAAAUGAUUUAAUUAAUUGGUGUUUGAAUAUACCUCUUAUAUUUUUUUAGAGCAAUUUUUAGGCACAUAACAUAAAUUUCUAAUUUUUUUUUAGAAAAGGUUUUAUAUUUUAUAUUUUAUAUUACAACUUCCCCUUUUUUUUCCAUCUAAAAAACAAAACAUAAAACCUUAAUAACCGAGUUUUGUCACAAACCCUUAACAAAUAAUCUAUUUUCCAAAAAUUACUUUAACAUCUUUAAACAUAUUGAUUUAGUAUACUUUACUUUUAAUAUUUUUUGAAAAAUAUUUUUAUUUUAUAUGAUUAUUAAUUAAUUAAGAUUGAUUGGGUAUGGUAGAAUAUAUAUUCCAAAAUACAUCGUAUUGAGAACAAUAUCACAAGAUAUUAUAUCCAUAUCUUAACAUAUUAUAUACUUUUAUUUUGUGCAAUUAGCAAUUGGACGGAAGGUAGGGAGCCGGCUUAAUGGAAAUGUCGCAUCUCACGUGUGUCCCUUCCCUUACCAAGUCUCAACAAAGGAUGAAAAUAUCGGUAAUCACGGAUAUAUCGGUACUUCGAUUUUACGGAUAUAUUAGAUAUAUCAGAGAUAUAUUGACGGAUAUUUUGGAAAAAAAUAUCGAUAAGCCUAAAAUUGAUCAAAAUUUAUAAAAAUAUAAAAAAAACUUCAUAAAAAUGUAAUUAAAAGAAGGUCGUAUAAGUUACUCAUGUUGAUCAUGUGAUAUAUCACGAGAUAUAAUCGAUUUUUGGGAAUUUCUCACGAAAAUAUCGCGACAUUUCUUCCUUGUCUCGACUGCUCCAAGAUUUCCUAUACGCCCUUCUUCGCUUAGCUCUUAAGUCUUUUCUUCUCCUCUUCCUCAAACCCAUCACAUUUCGCCGCGUGGAGCUAAGUCUCAAGGUCCUUUUGUUCGUACGAUGUAUGUUCCCCCAAUUCCUCAUCUACCUUGAAACUCCAUACUCGCCAUCUACUCAACCACUUCUCUACUCUAGAGUCUGGAUGCUUUAUCUCCGCGAGUGUCGAUGGCUCUUCACCCCAGCGAGUAUGGAAUUACAAGGGCAAUAUCGUCAUUAAAGACACAACAGGCAAACCAAUGGCAUUGUCUUCCUUUUGGUCUAUUUUAUUUAUGCUGUAAGUAUUCGUGCUUGACUUCUCCCGCGUCUCUUAUAAAAACUAAAGAAAACCACUCCAACAGAGCACACUUCAAGAAUCUUCUUUUUUUUUUUCUUUCCUCUUUCUCUUUACAUAUAUACUGAGAAAGCCCAGCUCAUCCCUCAAUUCCCAGAUGGGUUUUAUGAAUGUUCUCAAGUUCUCAGCUGCAUGCUUUGAUAUUCUUGCCUGGUAUGUUGUCCACGCAUUUUCUCGCCAUUGGAAAUUUUUGGAAAAUGAAGUGGAAUUCUCUGUUUGAGGACAAACAUGGGAUUUUCUUUGAUUUCUCCCUGUUGGUUUUAUCUAUAUUCUUUGGAUUACCCACAUUCUUGUCAUUGAUUGUUAGUCAUUUGUUUGGAUUUCUACUUGCAGGCCUCUAUUUGCACUGGGUUAUCCUCUGUAAGUCUUGGUCUUACACCUCAAGAUAUGAUGAUUCAUUUACUCUUUUCUUGUUCUACGAAUAGUUCAGUUACAUUUAUUGUGUUGGGAAACUGAAAAGGGAAAGGAUUAUUCUUUAUUAUCGUAAUAAUCAUCAACAUCAUCUCGGUUCUUCACAGAUGUUCUUCAAUUCGGGCAAUUGAGACUAACUCAAUCUCAGACUUUCGGAAGUUGGUGGCGUAUUGGGUUCUAUUUUCCUUGAUUUCACUCUUUGAUCAUGCUUUUUCCAAGCUCCUUGAAUGGUAAUUUUGCUCAACUGCGUUCCACUAUAUGUGACUCUGUUUGUUUCAUUUCUUUGCCCUUAAGGAAUUUGGAGUUGCUUUUUUCAGUUUUCUUUCCUAUGAAAAUAAUCGAGAUGUUUAAUGUUCCAGGCCUCCAUGUAUUUUAUAUUCCUUCAUUUCUCUGCUUUGACAAAUGCUCACAAUCUGAUCAGCAGAAAGGUUAUAACAUUUGAAAAAGAAGUGGUUUAUUUUUGUUUUUUUUAAGUACAAUAAUUUUCGUUUGGAUAAAUGGUCUGAAGGGUGUUUGUGUUUGGCUGAGUUCAUGGAAUUUUCAAGCUAAUUUGGGAUUUAUUCUCAAUUUCAAGAUCAUUGUGGAUAUGUCAGAAAUUAAUGAAAUAUAAAUGGUGGAAUGUGAUUUUCUUGUUUAAGAAAAGUUUUUCUUUGAAAAUGCGGGUGCACCAGACCUACCUUAUUGNNNNNNNNNNNNNNNNNNNNNNNNNNNNNNNNNNNNNNNNNNNNNNNNNNNAUCAGAUUCAACUGUGAUAGCCCGGAAUUUAAUUCAGUAUUCGACUCUUCUGGGAACAUGUUGGUUAUGGUUUCUCUCUCACUGUCCUCUUCUUUACACAUGACUUUUCAGUUGAGGAGCACAAAGCCUAAUGUUGAAGUGAAAGAGAUCAAAGCACCUGCAGCACCGGAGAAAAAAGGGGAACAGGUAAGUACUCUAAUGUGGCUAUUUAAUUUCUAUGGAGGCAGAUCCCCAGAGAAAUGCUGUUCAUGUAAAUUACUGAUGCAUUUGAUUCAAUGGCCACGGUUUUAAAAGAAAAACCACUUUAUGUAUGUUUCUGUGAAUGAGAGAACAAGUUUAUGGAUUAAAUGAUAUUUUUUAUGGUGAAAUAAUCAAUAAUUUUCAAAAUAAUAAUACAUUCCUGCAUGUUUUUGCAAUUCAUGAAUUCCUUUUAUGAUUGAUUCUUCUCACCUUUUUUCUCACCUCAGUGGAAGUGUGAAGAGCCUAAUGUUGCUCAAAAAGAGAUCCAAGUAGUCAAAGUAACAGAGAUAAAAAAUGGGGGGGAUGGAGCAAAGAGGGUAAGUUUUGCUUUUUAUUUAUAAAGUAGGCUGUCUUCACACAAGGAUUAUUAUUAUUAUUAUUGUUAUUAUUUUAAGACAUGAAUGUUGAAUGAUUUUGGAAUUGUCCUUGAAUCAUGUGAAGUGUGAAUGGUCUAAUGCUGCUAAGGAGGAGGUCAAAGUGACAGAAGUAACACAGAGAACAUUUGGUGGUACAGCACAGUGGGUAAGGUUUCAUGUCAUAUUUAAAUGGCUCCUCAUAUUUCACUAGGAUUAAUUUUGCCCCUACAAACUAUUUGGCUACAAGUUAAGACAGAGUUCCAGAUGCUGAUAAAGCUGAGACAUAAGUAAUGAACGAAUUUAGACACAUGCACAACUCUUGUGUGAAACACAAUGAGAGUGGAAAAUAGCUAAGUUGAAAAAUGGCCAAAUACUAUUUUGUAGUUCCCCCUACCACUUAAGUAAUUUUUGUCAUCCUUUGUGAAUGGAAAAUGCAGUCCCUUCAGUAAUUCCAUUAUAUUCAUGACUUGGUGAAGCAUAUAACCAUUAGUGUCUUACCCUAAGUCGACCUUUAAUGAUGAUCCAUUGAGAUGGGUCUGACUUUUGUCAACCCUCUUAUUCCCUUGAUCAUAGAGGUGAAACUUAGGGGGCUUAACCCACUUUUCAAUCUUAUUGGAUAUAUGGCACGUGGUAUCCUCUUCAUCUUGAAAGAGUGAAGUGGUCAUACUCUUUCCUCUGAGUCCAUUGUGGCCAUGCACUUCAGGCUCAUUGGGCUGAGUGAAAGGAUUCCCUUCUGCUUCAAAUCAUAGAGAGAUAUGCCAUGGUCAGCCUCUUUAAUUCAAGGGAUUGAAGUACUCAAAUCCAUUUCUCUGUAUCCAUCUUAGUUCUGCAUUCAUGUCUCAUGGUUAACCAAGAAGAUCCAGCCUCCAUCCAUGAGAUCAGCAUCUGCAGGUUUAUGACACCACCCUUCCUUUGCAUAGGAAAGGGAUCAUUAAGCCAUGUGUCGGAUGACAGAAGUCAUCAUUCAGGUUAUCUUGAGAACUAAGGAAGUUGGAAUUCUAAUUAUUGCAUAUGGUUCUUGAUGUUUAGCCAAUAUACUAUAGGAUUUUAAGCAUCAUGCUCACGUGCAUUGUGGUUGCUUAUCAGCUAUAUGGUUUGCCAAAAUGAGGGACUGAUUAUGGUCAUAAGUACCUUUUUCCCAUUAAUUUCUUGCAUGUGCUCUGCUGAGAUUAUGUUUUUGACAGUCCAAAUCAGGGCAAACCAACAAACAGCUUUAUGUUAACUUUUACAAACUGCCAUAUUUUCAGGUUAAACAAACAGAGAUAAAUCUUGGUGAAACUAGAAGUAAUACAACCUGUGCUGUGGAGAUAAAAGAAAGGGCAGCAGCACUGGUGGCUGCAGAAAUUGAGGCAUGUAGAGACGAUAGAACCCCCAAGAUACCUCUUCAUGAGAAAGUCCAGAAAGAGUGGGCUUGUGCUGUGUGCCAGUUCACAACCCAAACUGAAGCGACCUUCAAUUCCCACCUUCAAGGGAAGAGACAUCAGGCCAUUUCUGAGCAGCUGAGAGCCAAAAAUCAGGCAACCAAAACCAAUUGUUCCCCAUCUGCUUCAAUGGCCAAGAAAUCUGAUCAGUCCACCAAAGAGGAGCAACCGAAGUGUACUUCCAAUCUGAAUUCCAAAAACAAUGGAAUCUCAGCUGCUUCAACAGUGAAGAAACUUGAUGAGACCAAAGAUGAUGAGCAACAAAAGUCUGCAUCUAGCAAUGGACCGAACCAGAAGAAUAACAAAAAGCAAGAGGUACAGACCAAUGAGCAAGGCCGUCAGAAGAACUUAAGGCAAACUGGUGAUGGAAUGAAAGAGUUGAGAUCAUGGUGCAAUAUCUGUAAUGUAAGCUGCACAAGGGAGCUUGACCUGGCCUCGCAUCUCAAUGGAAGGAGGCACUUUGAUAGGAUAAAGCAGCUGUCUGAAUUAUGGUGCAGUAACUGCAAUGUAAGGUGCAACAGUGAGGUUGAUAUGGCCUCUCACCGAAAUGGGAGGAGGCACUUGGAGCAGCUGAAGGAACGGUUAGGAUUAUGGUGCAGUAUCUGUAGUGUGAGUUGCAACAGCAAGGUGGACAUGGAUUCUCACCUAAAUGGGAAGAUUCACUUGGAUCAGAUCAAGGACCAGUUAAGAUUAUGGUGUGGGGCAUGUAAUACAACCUGCAAGAGUGAGCGCAACAUGGCCUUUCAUCUGAAUGGGAGGAAGCACUUAGAGAAGAAGGGGAAUACCUGAUUUGCAUGUUUCUUCAGAUUAUUGAUACUUACAAAUGGUUUUAGUUAGAAGCAUACAGGCCAGUGGGUGGUGGUCACAGAUGCCUCUAUUUUGUUGUAUGAAGUAAAAACAGUAUUUCCAUGUCCAGAAAUCAACCACUUGUUUAGUGCAUGCAUGGCUGGUUCAAAAUUAAACCUAAUUGUGAAUGACUAGGAGCAGGGAGGGAAAAAUUGAAGGGAAGAAUGUAAGAUUAUGGCUUCAUUUUUAUUUUUUCCUCUUCUGAAAAUUGUAAGAUUGUGUUAGGAGGAGCUGGAAUGGGUUCAAAUCAGGAAUUAAGACCCAGUUCCAAGACAUGGAAAGUGUCUUUAGAUUAUGUUAAGUUAUUUCCAUUUUUUUUUCUUUUCUAUUUUUUUUCUUUAUUUAUUGUAAGAGGGAGCAUAAAUGAAUUUUUAUUUUUUAUUUUUUUUUUCAGAAUAAAGAUGAAUUUGAUAAUUUCAAUUAUUGCGUUUGGAUGUAUUUCGGAACGUAAGAUUGAAAUAAUUAUUUGUUUUCAUUUUAGUGUUUGAUAAUAAUGAAAGUAUGAAUUAAAAAAUAAAUUGAUAAUAAUACUCUUACAUUUAAUUUAAAACAAUUUUUUAUUUUUAUUUUUAUUUUAGAAGAAUAUGGGUUAAUUUUAUUUAUUUAUUUUUUAAAUAAUAAGCUUAAGAAAAAUAAUUUUUACUCAAUAAAUAAAAUUAAUCAUACAAAGUCAUAAAAACCAAACCAAAAUAUAAGGGUAAAAUAGUAAUUUUAAAAUAUUCAUUUAAGUUAUCCAAAUGCAUUCCUACUCUUCAUUCUCUUGUACGAAAUACGGUCUUUAAGCGUUUGUCAAACUUAUUUCUUUUUUGGCAAUAUAUCAAUAUUUUAGUAAUAUUUUUAUCGAUUAGUUGCUGAUAUUUAUCGCCACGUCACCAAUUCUUUGAGUUUGACUUUCAAAAUUUUGAAAUGAUCAUUGAAGUCCAGUUCAGCCCAAAUCACUACACCCAUGAAAGGGAACGGCUGGGCCACCACACUAAUAUGGCCCAUACAUGGGACCUCGUAAAAGAAUACCCAUCUUCAAAAAUAGGGACCAUAUUAAAUUAUUAAUGUAGCUAUAGGAAGCAUUUGAGGACAAGGGUCAUGAUUUUUCCCUUUUCUUUUUCUCCUUAAUUUUCACAUCACCCAACAACACCACUCUUAAUUCACACAAAUUUGAAGGUUUGGAAUGAGACUUAUUCGUAUUUAUAUUGUAAUUAUGCUAUAAUAAUCGUGUCGUAUUUGGAUUUAUUUAUUAAAUCCAUCUAAAUCUUUUGUUUAUUCGUGUCAAAACAAUAUAUUUAUAAUCGAAUCCAUUUAUGACAUAUUCAUCUUUUAUAAAUUUAUUAAUUUUAUAUAUUUUAAAAUUAUAAAAAUUAAAUAUAUUUUUUCAAUUAUGAAAUCAUAUUACUAAAAUAUUAAAUAAUUCAUUAACUUGAAAUGUUUUACAUUUCAUUAAUUAUUUUAUAAUUACAACAUUAAGUGAAAUAAUAAAUAGGUAUAAAAUAUAUAUUUUAUUUUAGUUAAAAAUUAUAAAUUGUUAUUGAGACAUAUAACUAUUAAAAUUCUACCCAUUUGACUAUCAAACAAACAACUUAAGUUUUUAGUCAUGAUUUAAGCUUAUGAUAAACUCUAUUUACAAAAAUUAGAAACCAAAAUCAAAUUCUUCCUAGACUCAAAAACAUAAAGACAAUCUUUUAACUUUAGAAGACAACUAUCAUCUAAGAUAAGGGUAACUCAUCCCAUUGCAUGUACAACAAUUCUUGCUUCAAAAGCUAAUGUUAGGUACAUAUCCCUAUCAUUCAACCUUUCCCUUAGCUAAAACCCCUAUAAAGAAUUAUAAACAUGAUCAAUGGCUCCAAAAUUUAUCCACCAAGAGUUAGUGGAAUCUAACACUAAAAAUGAUUCAACUAAAAGAGAAUGAUGCAUACCUAACUGUCUCUUCAAGAACUAAGGGCAUUCCUUCUUCUAGUGGCUUUUUUUACCACAAAGGAAACACUUAUCAUGACCCUUACUCUUCUUCUUUUUCCCUUGCCCUUGAACUUUCCCUUCUGCUUGGUGAAUUCUACAAUGUUCUUCUUAUUUUGGUUAGAAGAACCUAAAGAACACUUAACUGCCAUAUAAAUACCUCUCUGGUCCUUGAGAAUUCCCUCAAUUGUUUUGUGUUCUCUCAUCAGUUCGGUUAUAGUUUAAGAAAAAAAAUGUUUUUUUUAUGUGACUAAACUUGGAAUGAAUGUCCAAGUUGCAUACAUACUCGGGCUAAGAUCAAGUCAUAACGUAGUUUAAGAAAAAAGAUUUUUUUUUUUUUUUUUUUUUUUUUUUUUUUGUGAUUGAACUUGGAAUGGAUUUCUAAGCUACUUACGUAUCCAGGAUGGGAUCAAGUUCUAACAUAGUCACAAUGCAGUUCAAGAAUUUUUUUUUUCUUUUUUUGUGCUCUAACUUUUGCCAAGACUAAAGAUCUUAAUUUUGCGAGCAUGUUCUAACUUUUGCCUAGGUCGCCUUUCCAAGUUUUCAAUUUAGCAAACAAGGUUUUUUUUUUCUUUUUUUUCUUUUUCUUUUUUUAGUUCUCUAACUUUUGCCAAGACUAAAGAUUUUAAUCUUGGAAGCAUGUCUUAACUUUUACCUUAAGUCGAAUUUUUAGGUUUUCAAUGUGGUGGAUUUUUUUUUUUUUUUUUUUUUUUUGUGUCGUAGGUAAUUUAAGCUCAUAUGGAUUGGAAGCAAUGUGUAGUUUGUUGGGAUUAAGCCCUUAAAAGCAAGACAUGAUGUAAUAAAGUUAAACUUAACUAUUUCCUUACUAUCUUUUUGGUGUAUCAACAUUGAUUUAAACAUUCAACCCAUAUCUCUUACAUUGUACAUGAUUUAGGAGCAUUAAGAGUUGCACAAAAGAUACAAGUUAUGGGUUCCUUGUAAGUAGAUGAGUUAUCCAUAGUCAUUUCAUGGAUUUGGGCAAUCUAGUAGUGACUAUAGUGCACCACCUCCUAAUUUAAGGGAUGACUUGUCUUGGCAGUUGGGAUGAGUUUCCUAUGGUGAGCGUACUAGUGUAAAUGAUGCACAUUGGACAGGACCUAUGGUGAAUCAUGACGCAAGGCUAUCAAUUGUCAUGAUUCACCAAGUUACUAUACUACAUGGACUCUCAACCUUGAGAGGACAUUGAACCCAUGUCAAAAUCAAUAGAAAGUUUUGACCUAUGGGCGAGACCCUAAAGUAGUCAUAUAUUCCUAUGGAUUAGGUCAUUGUUGAUGUAGGCUGGUUAUAAUAGGCAUUCUCAAUAGAGGCACCAUGAUAUGUCAUGGGAUUGAGAUGGUGUGUCCCUUUGGGUGAUCCAAAGAACAUGUGAUCAUGAAAUUUGUGGCCACAGUAAUUCCUUUAGUGAAAUUUGACAUAUGCUCCUUGGAGUUAGAGUAUGUCAAUUGAUCACAUAAUAAGUGAGAUCUAUAACUCAAGGAUUUGAGAGAUAAUAUUGAUAGGUGAUAACACUAACUUGUUAGAUUUAGACACCAGUUUCAUGAGGAAUAUGCAUGUAGUGGAUAGUAGGUCAUGAAUGCGAGCUUUGUCUCGUUGUUAUUUACAUAAGGUACCGGAGUGUAGUUGAUUCUCUUUAGUAGAGUGUUGAAUCAACUUCAAAAUUGGAUUAUGAGGUAGUCAGUACUCCUAUGGGUCUCAAUGGUCCCCACUCUGAGCUAAUAUACCAUGAUGACACAAUUUAUGAGGGUUGGAUUGACUUUAGGUUCAUUCUUAUGCAUAAGGGCAUUUUGAUAAUUACACAAGGUUGCAUAGGGGAUAAUAAAUAAGGUCUCUAGAUUGGACUAAUUGAUUAAUUAGAUGGCCUUAUGUGGUUAAUUAAUCAAUUAAGACAUGUUAGGGCUAGAUUAAGUGACCCAAGCCUUGAUGGGUUCAAGUCACUUAAGCCUAAUGGGUAACCGUAUAAAUACCUCCUUAUGGGUUAGGGUUUUCUAAUGACUUUUAGUUAGUCAUCUUCCACUUUUAGAAAAAUAGAGAGAGCCAAAGCUUCCUCCUUUCCACUGCCCACACUUUGGUAUGCCAAGAUCGGGAAUCGAGUCAUCGAACAAAAGAUCUUAGGUGUACGAGACCUUUGAACUCUUUAGGCUUCUUCUUCGUUGGAUGGAUUUUGAUCUGGGAACAUCUAGAUCACAUGUAUGUGUUAUAAUAUUUGGUUAAUUCAACCUAAGGUAAUCACCCUAGAGAAGGGGUGAAUAGGGUGAUGAUUUUUUUUUGCAAAUUUAAAUUAUGUGAAUGCAAGAGACAAUUAUAUGCAAAAUAUAUGGCAAAACCAUAUAAAAACAAUUGCAUAUAAAGUAAAAGGUUAAGGAAGAGAGAAUAUAAACACAAGAUUUUUAUAGCGGUUCAGUGCAACCCGACCUCCAUCCAUUCUCUUCUAGCUUCAAUACUAAACUUGAGGUUCCACUAAUUCAAGGCUUCCAAUCCAAGCCUUCAAGUAAUACAAUUGGAUUAUGGUUCCAAUCAAACCUCUUGAAAUUUUAGUUCUAAACACAUUUUACAAUCUUCAAGAGAUACCUCACUCUUGAACAACUCCUUAAGUGAUACCUCACACUUGAGAAUCCCUAAGUGAUACCUCACACUUAGAUUUUUCAUCUCAAAGAUUUAUCCGCUCUGCACCCACCUCCCGAGUAUAUGCUUCAACAGGAAUCACACAAGGGUAGAUUGAUACAAUAGAAACCUCUGGUAAAAUGCCCGCUCGUAACCCAGCAGAUAAAGUACAUUACAUAGUCCGUUUUAGGGAUUGGCUACUUACCCAUUCAGUGACUUUGGCACUGGACGUUCCCAAAAUGGGUACUAUCGGGUCGGGUGAAUUCAAUAAUAGACGCCUGUUGGCAUUCCAGCCUUCCUUCUCCUUUCAGGGCCUAUCCGAAAGAGAAUCCAGUACUUCUUGGUCAAAUGAAGAUAGGAAAUUAUUAGCCUAAGGACUCUCCUAAUCGGGUUUUGAUGAUAACAAACCAUGAUUAAAUGACUAAUUGGUUUAAUGGUUAAGAAUCUCAAGCAUAAACUCGAAAAUUCAUCAAAUGACCAAAUGGAUACAAGAUCGAGACAUUUGGAAGACUUGUGAUCAUAGGAAACUAAUGUAAGAUGAAUGCAUGAGUGCACUUAGGAUUUUCAUACCGUUUCAUACAAUUUAGAAAACUCAGUUUAUUCUUUAAAACUUCAAUUUCAUUAAAACCCGAGUUUUAACAAUUGUACCUCAGGCAAAAUGUUUUAAAAUUGGCAUAAUAAUUCACCUAAAAACCUUGCCUAAGUGUUAGGAAAGAAAGGAAUUGAAAAAGAUAGGUUUUCGGGGCCAAAAGGCUCAACCGGUCGAGGCUAUGGCCAACCAACUCAACCGGUUAGGGAAUCGGUCGACUGGUUACCCUUGUCCAGUUGAGGUCCGAUCGAAGGAUGCACAAAAUUUUCUCUCUCUCCCAGUAGCCUUCUCUUCCCGGUUGAGGUUAUUCUCUUCCCUGUCGAGGUCCGGUAUAGGCAACGGUAACCUGUCAAGCAUUAAAUGCUCCAACGGCUAGCGAACCGGUCAACCCCUAGCUCGACCGGUCAAGGUUACCUUUUGUUGUUUUUGACUCCCGAGCUUAGAAACCUAUAAAUUGAGAGCUCCACUUCAUUUAUUGACGAGAUAACACUUGCAAUCAAUUGUCUACCUAUUUGUUCUUGAUCAGAAAGCUCUCAUUUCUUUCUUAGUACAUUAAAUCAUCACUUGCAUAUCCUUUAGUGCACUCUUGUGUGUCAUCCUAGAUUUGUCUUGUAUUUGAGCUAUCUUUAAGCUAGGUUGAGGGAUUCAUUCUUGUAAAAACCGAGUGUUAAAGCCUUCAAGAAGUUUAAAUCUUGAAGAGAUUGUGUAAGAGUCCAUUGGAGCCAAAAUCCAAGUGUAAGAAGAUUGGAAGUUUGGUUGAAGUUUCAAGUUAGUGGAACCUUCACUCGGUUAGGAGAUUGAGGAGACUGAACGUAGGCAAAGAAGUGUCGAACUACUAUAAAACCCGAGUUUGAAUUCUCUAACUCUAGCUCUUUAUUUUGCUUAUAUUGUGCUUGAACUCGUUGUGAUUUAAAAGAAUUUAAAAAACCCCUAUUUGGGUGUUUUUCUUAAUUAAGCAUAGCCUUUAUUUUCUCAUAAAUAAUCUUACAAAAUCUUAGUACAAACUUUAGCCUUAAAUGAUACAAAAUAAACUAGGAUUGAAUGGUGCACUAAUGAUAUGUAAGUUUUAAAACAAUGUGUACAAAAAACACUCCCCUAAAGCUCAAAUAUAUUCGAGAAAGGUUUAAGAAGGUUAAACUCUUGAAACAAUAAAUAUUGAAACCUUUUUAUAGAAGAGAAAAACCAAACUACCUGUUGGGGAUUCGUUCGAUCAAGCUCUGGUUCGACCAGUUCACUAGCCUUUAGCAUUUAAUGUAUGAUAGGUGACCAUUGGACCUUGACUACCCCUUGAUUGGUACUCGACCGGAUGAAGUUCAACCUUGAUUGAUCGAAUAAGCAUUCUGGAAGAGAGAUAAGGUUUUUGCACCUUUCAACCGAGUAAGCUGAAUAGGUCGACUAAUUUCUCAUUCGAUUCAACCGAUUGAGUCAUUUUUUGCUCAACAACUAUUAUUUUCAACUUAAAACCUUUUAAACAAGUUUGGAAAGCAUUUGACAUAAGGUUUUAGUUGAAAACAUGAAAUCAUCCAAUUUUUAAAAGAUUUAAAACAAAAUAACUCUUGAAUGAUUUUGGUGUAUAAGUAAAGAAUGUAAUGCAUGAAAAACCCAAUGCACCAACAACCUUACAAAGAGAUCCUAUGAGUCUUAGGUCUUGAAAAACACUUAUCUUUAAGGUCUUCUUCUUCUUAUUGAUUUUAUCUUUGUGAUUGCCACUUUGGAAAUCAUCUUGCCUAGUCACACUUAAAAUAUAAUCAUUAGUUCUAAAUCUUGUUUUGUUAUCAUCAAAACUAAGAUUAACCAAACCUUGGUUUCACAAUAUGAAUAUUGUAUCUCUAGAUCUAUAGUUAAUAGUGGUUUUUAUAGUCAUUUGUUUCCAUUGCGAUAAAUUUAGAGAAGCUUAGGGAUAGAUGAAUGCACCCUAUGAGAUCUAGGGCAUAGGAAUGGAGUAAUCCGGGGUUCCUAACAUAGUUUAGGCUUGUGCUUCAUGGAGUGAUAACAAUUCUUCAAGCAUAGUUAUGCUUUAGAAAUUUGUUAUUGAUUGGUCCAAUUUUUAGACCAUCUUCAGCAACAAUCUUGUGUGCACCAUUGAUAUAAUCUUGUUAUACAAAAUAUGAUCUAUCACAUUUUUGGCAAGAACUUUCCACUGGUUUUGUGCAUGGUAAUGAUCAUGCAUGCAAACUUAACUAAGUUAUACACUAGAUGCCAAACUACUACAAUUCUUAUACACCUUCCCGUUUUGUGCAACUGAACAAUUCAACAUCAUAACACCAAAGUUCUUGCUUAGAUUUCCUACAGUGCUAAAAUUUUGAAAUGAUUAAUUUGUUUAUUUUUCUUUCAAUCCCAAGACCCACAUACAUCAUGUCAUGCCCUAAGACCCACUCUAAGGGCAUGACAAUCAUUUCACAUCUCAAGGUCGAAAGCUCAAAGUGUAAAUUGACCUUAACAUUCAUUUUGUAACUGGAAAAUUAUCAAUUACCAAAUUCAUAUUUAUAGUAGUAGAAUAAAAUUCUACAAGUUUCAAAUCUCAACUUUAAAGUUAACACAUCAACUAAAGUGUUAUUGUCCAAACAACUUCAAACUUAACAAUUCAAGCAAUCAUUAAAUUCUAACUUUCAAAAAAUAUUUUUUAAAAAUAAAGAUUUAACGAAAAGUCUUAGUAUUGCCAAAAUCUCAUCCUAACCUUCACUCCUAGCCUGAAUUAAGGUGCCUAAAAAAUUGUCAAUGAAAGGAAAUGAGAUCAACGCUCAAUAAGGAAUAUUAAUAAGGUUUCAUGGAUCAAACAUUUUUAAUUAUAAUUCCAAAUAGGAGAUAUAAUAUAUAAUCAUUUUCAUAAGAAAUUUUGAGUUUAAAUAUAAUAAUAUAUUGAAAACUUUUCAGCUAAACAUUUUCAUAUCUAUGUCAAAACAAUUUCAUAUCAAAUUCAAAUCAAAUAUAUACAAAAUAUUUUUACUUUGGUUAUCAAAUGUCACAUGGUGUCAAGUUAGGUGGGACUUUACAAAUUGGUGUCUAACCUCAAAUUUUUUCCUUUCAAGGUGGACGAAACCAAACACUACUAGUAUUAUUAACAUCUAACCAAAUCCCUAAAGGGUGAGAUCUAAAGCAAUUACAUUCUCCGCCAAGAAAUAUAAGGUCAACAAUUAUAACUCGUUGACUAGGGACAAAAAUAAACUAGAGUCAAACACCUUAUUUCAUUAAUUCAAACUUGCAAAACAAAAACAUCAUAUCUCCAUAAUUUUCAUUUUUUAUAAACAAAAGAAAUGUUCUAACAUAGUUUUUUCAUGAAAAAUAUAUAUUUGAUCCAUGCAUAAAAAUAAAAAUAAUUUUUUUAUUAUUCAAAAUAACAUAUAAAAAUAAAUAUGUUCUUUUGGCCAAAACAUGUAUUAAUUUUUCUUACCUCAAAGAAACACUCAAAGACCUUGAAGCAAUUAAUCCUAAAGAAUUUCACCCCAAAAAACAUAUUUCACACCUUACUAAAAAAAAAAAAACAAAACAAAAAAAUUACUAUUGAUUAUUUAUCUAAUAAUAGUUUUGUAUUUUAUAUCACCUAUAUUAUUUUUAACUUCCUAAUAAAUAACAAUUUAAUAAGCGAUUUUCCAAAUUUUUAAAAGUUAUGUUCUUUCCAAAAUUUAUUCAUAAUAUUCUAUUAUUAUUAUUAUUAAUUAAAUCUCUCAAAAAUAUGUUUUUUCUAUUUAUUGCAUUAAACUAUUAUUAUUAUUAUUCAAUUUCAAUUUGAUUAAUUGGUUUUUUCUUUUAAAUUCCUAAUUUAUAUAAGAUUCUUGUUUUGAAAAUCUUCCAUAUUUACUUAUUUGUUUAAAGUAAAUUUCUCCAAAACUUGUUCCUUUUGGUUAAACAAGUAUCUUUUCCUAUUAUUAUUAUUAUUAUUAUUAUCCCUAAUAUUAUAUUCAAAUAACUAAACAAUAAUAAUUUAAAUUAGUGAGUUUCCAAAUUUUUAUAAAACUCAUAUUCAUUCUAAAUCUUAUCAUAUAUAUCAAUUUCUUUUAUAUACUUAAAUUAAAUUAAAAAAUUUACUUAAAAAAUAUAUAUAUUAUAUUAUUACUUUCAACAUCCUUCUACCACCCAAACAAUUACUUCAAGUAAAAGUCAUAUAUCCUUAUUCUACUAACUAUCCUCUCUCUUGCAAUAGCACACUUAGGGAUGGCAAUGGGGUGGGUUCGGGAUGGAUCGCCCCUAUCCCAACUCCUCCCCAUUUAUUCAAAAUAAUUUUCAUCCUCGUCCCAUUUAAAAAAUUAAAUGAGGCAGGGCGAGUAUGAUAAAUUCUCAUAUUCGCCUCGCCCCGCCCCGUUUAACUCUUUUUUGAAUUUUUUUUUAAAAUUACUUUAAAAAUUUUUAAUUACAUUAAAAUAAAUAUAUUUUAUAAAUAAUUAAAUUAUUAUAUUUUUUAUAACUUAUUUUAUUAAAAAUAUUUUAUUAUUAUCUAUAUAUUAAAAAUAGUAAAAUAAAAAUUAAAUUAAAUUAAUUUUAUAUAUAAUUGGGGUGGGACGGGAUGAGGCAAUACCCAAACCUGCUCCGGGUUUUAAAAAAAAUUCUCAAACCUAUCCCAAACCCGUUUAUUAAAAUUAAAUCUCGUCUCAUUAGGGACGAGGCGAGUACCUGAAAAAACCUGCCUCAUUGCCAUCCCUAGGCAAACUUUCAUUUUUUUUUUUUUUUUUAUCUUUUUCCUCCUUAAGAUCAAUCCUAUUGUAAGCACCCUUUUUUUUUCUACCACAUCUUGUUGCAAGCAACCUUGUAAGUUUUUUUAAUUUAAAUUUUUUUUCCACUAUGGAGGCACGUACAACCAUAAAACCUCCUCUUUUUUUUAUUUUAUUUUUACAACUCUCAAAUCUCUCAACCUCCAUACUAUUAGGUUUUAUUCAUUUAUUUAUUAUUAUUAUUAUUAUUAUUAUUAUUCCAUAUCCAAAACUAUAAUUAAUUUUCUUUUAUAUUUUUUUAUUUUAGAUCUAUUAAUUUGAAUAUUCGAAAUUUUCUAAUCUUACUAAUAACUCUAAACGUUCAAAACUAAUUAAUGAAUAUAAAAUAUUAAUCUAAGGAUUAAAAUCUUAUAUAGAAAAUUGAUCUUUAAAUCCUAAACUCCCAAAUUUUCAACCUUACGUUGCCCUAUGUUGUCCAAUCUCUUAGAUCUCCAUGUAAAAGGGUUUUUUUUUUUAAUAGAGUAAAUAAGAAAAAUUUAAUUUAUACCUAAAAUUUUAAAAUGGAGAAAAAUCUUUCUACCCUUAUUAAUUUAAUUAAUUUUUUUAAAUUAUGUUUUUACCCUUGAAUUGGGUCUGGGCAUCACACAUCAUACUAAAAAGUUAUCAAUAACCAUCCUUUGAGGCACAUUAGCAUAAAUUUGCGACUUUAGUUGUGUUCUAGGUGCAAUUCUAUUAUGUUUAAUUGAAAAAUAACACCCAUAGCACAACCAAGCCUAAUUGACAGCAUUUGGGCAAAUAAAUGGUAAAUUUCUAAAAGUUCACCAAAAAAAAAAAAAAACAAAAAAGAUCAUAAAGGGCAUAUUUUUCAAGUCAACCUAGUUUUGGGAUAUUGCAAUCCAAUCUAAGAAUGCAAUAAUAGCUCUUUAAUUCAUAAUUUUAAAUUCACAAAAGAUAUCACCUAAAAUUACUAUAGGUUACCAAAACAUCAACAACAUAUAGAAAGCUUAGAAAUGCUUGGAACCUAUCGAAUUUUCACUUUUUAGGAAUAAAAAAAAAAUGAACUUUAAGGAUUUUAGGGUAAUACUUGCUUGAACCAUCUUUCAAUCCUUUUGUUGGCGGUGGGCCUUUUACCUAUAAGAACAGGAAUGAGAGGUGAAAAGGAGGGAGCCUUAUGAAAACGGAUCCCUAGGGCUUAAGAAGGGGUUUUCAAUUUUAGGGUUUGUCUGUUCACCAAGGAUGUGAAUGGGAAGAUGAGGUGAAGUUAAGAGAUUGGUGAAGCAAAGUGAGGGCAUGGUAGGGUUUGAAUAAGGGAAAGUCUACACUAUUAAUGAAGAUGAUAAUCUUUAGAAAGCAAAGCUAAGGUAAACUAGGGCUUUAACAACAAUUUUCGAUCUACACUAGUGAAGACGAUAUCUUCGAAAACCAAAGCUAAGGCAAGCUAGGGCUUUAAUAACGAAUUUCAAUCUACAAUGGUGAAGAUGAUAAUCUUCGAAAACCAAAUCUAUAAUGGUGAAGAUGAUUAAAAACUAAAUCUAUAUUGGUAAAGACGAUUGGAAAGCAAAUCUACACUAGUGAAGUCAACGAAACCAAAGGUAGGUAAAAAUAAUAAUAAUAAUAAUGCAUUCUUAGAUCCAAAUCACCAUUUCCAACAUGGUAUUUGGAUUUCCACCUUGUAUUUUUUGUUUUUAAUUUUUUCAAUAAUCAAGGACAUUUUAGGGAUUAUUAAGUGACAAUAUUCUUCAACUCAAUUUCCCACAUUAGUUAGGUGUAAGGCUCAAAUGUGAAACUCAUAUAGAUGUUAGGCCAAUCAUCAAACUCAUUUGCCUUGAAGCAUAAUUUCCCCUUUUUAAAAUAGUUGUUAAACAUCUAUCCCCAACACUUGUAACCCUUUGAAGUGCUUGUAUGUUAACCUUGUUUCCUUUUUCUCAUGAAACAUGGCUUAUUGAUUGUUGCAUUGAGUCAUUAUCAUUCACCAAAUCCAUGCAACUAUGAACUACCUUUCAAAUCCCUCGAACAUAAAUGGUAAUUCCAAAACAACUCAAGUAUAAUCUUUCCAAGCCCUUCAAAUGAUUUAAUUAAUUGAUGUUUGAAUAUACUUCAUAUAUUUUUUUAGAGCAAUUUUUUAGGCAUAUAACAUAAAUCUCUAAUUUCAUUUUAUUUUUUUUAUAAAAGGUUUUAUAUUUUAUAUUACAAUUUCCUCUCUUUUUUUUCAUCUAAAAAAAAAAACAUAAAACCUUCGUAAACGAGUUUUGUCACAAUCCCUUAACAGGUAAUCUAUUUUUAAAAAUUACUUUAACAUUUUUAGAUAUAUUGAUUCAGUCUAAUUUAAUUUUAAUAUUUUUUAUAAAAUAUUUUUAUUUUAUAUGAUUAUAAAUUAAUUACUAUUGAUUGCAUAUUAUAGAAUAUAUAUUCUAAAAUAUAUCCUAUUCACAAUAAUAUCAUAAGAUAUUAUAUCCAUAUCCUAACAUAUUAUAUACUUUUAUUUUGUGCAAUUAGCAACAGGGUGGAAGACGGCUUAGGCGGGAGACGGCUUAACGGAAAUGCCGUCUGCCAUGCGUGUCCCUUCCCUUAGUGAGUCUGAACAGCUCCAACAUUUCCGACACGCCCUUCUUCGCUUAGCUCUUAAGUAUUUUCGUCCCGUUUUCAUUAACCCCAUCACAUUUCGCCAUGUGGAUCUAAGCCUCAUGGUCCUUUCGUUCGUACGAUGAAUAUUCCCCCAAUUCCUUAUCUACACUAAACCUCCAUACUCGCCAUCUACUCAACCACUUCUCUACUCUAGAGUCUGGAUCCUUUAUCUCUGCACGUGUCUAUGGCUCUUCACCCCAGCAAGUAUGGCAUUACAAGGGCAAUAUCGUCAUUAAAGACCCAAAAGGCAAACGAAUGGCAUUAUCUCCCUUUUGGGUCUAUUCUAUUUAUAUUGUAAGUUUUUCGUGAUGACUUCUCUCAUAACAGCUAAAAACCACUCCAACAGAGCACACUUCACUUCUUCGUUUUUGUCUUUCCUCUUUUUUUUUUUUAGAGAAGCUGAGAAAGCCCAGCUCGCCCUCAACUCCCCGAUGGGUUUGAUGAAUGUUCUCAAAUUCUCAGCUGCAUGCUUUGAUCUUCUUGGUUGGUAUGUUGUCUACGCAUUUUCUCGUCAUUGGAAAAUUUUGGAAAAUGAAGUGGAAUUCUAUGUUUGAGGAGAAACUGGGAUUUGCUUUGAUUUCUCCAUGUUGGUUUUAUCCCUUUUGUUUGAAUUGUCCAGAUUCUUGUCAUUGAUUGUUAGUUAUUUGUUUGGAUUUCUACUUGCAGGCCUCUGUUUGCACUGGGUUAUCCUCUGUAAGUCUUGGUCUUACACCCCAAGAUAUGAUGGUUCAUUUACUCUUUUCUUGUUCUAUGAAUUCUUAGUUCAGUUACAUUUAUUGGGUUGGGAAACUGAAAAGGGAAAGGAUUAUUAGUUAUUAUCAUAAUAAUCAUCAAUAUCAUCUCGGUUCUUCACAGAUGUGCUUCAAUUCGGGCAAUUGAGACUAACUCAAUCUCAGACGUUCGGAAGUUGGUGGCGUAUUGGGUUCUAUUUUCCUUGAUUUCACUCUUUGAUCAUACUUUUGCCAAGCUCCUUGAAUGGUAAUUUUGCUCAACUUCAUUCUUUGCCCUUCAGGAAUUUGGAGUUGCUUUUUUCAGUUUUCUUCCUUGUGACAAUAAUCGAGAUGUUUAAUGUUCCAGGCCUCCAUGUAUUUUAUUUUCCUUCACUUCUCUGCUUUGAAAAAUGCCCACAAUCUGAUCAACAGAAAGGUUAUAACAUUUGAAAAAGAAAUGCUUUGUUUUGGUUUUUUAAGUGCAACAAUUUUCAUUUGGAGAAAUGAUCUAAAGGGUAUUGGUGUUUGGCCGAAUUCAUGGAAUUUUCUCGCUAAUUUGGGAUUUAUUCUCAAUUUCAAGAUCACUGUGGAUAUUUCAGAAAUUAAUGAAAUAUAUAUGAUGGAAUGUGAUUUUCUUGUUUAAGAAAAGUUUUUCUUUGAAAAUGUGGGUGACCCCAACCUACCUUAUUGUACUACUUGGAACACAAAACAAAAGUUUUUCUCGCUAAUUUAUUAACUAAAUUGCACACUUUUUGAUAGUUCAAGGAAGUGGUGUCAGCUUUGGAAAUAAGAUGGAUGAUUGUAGGGAACUUUAUUUCUCAUCUUUAUAGGGAACUUUCCAUAAUAUAGCUUAUAAAUAUCAUAAUCACAGUGAUGAAUGAUUGUCUUGUUUGAAAGCAUGGUUGCACUUAUUUCCAGGGAAUUUGUCUGCGUUGAAAUUAAAUUAAGCUUUAUGCAUCAUUUGGAUGCUGGGAAACAAAUGGAAAUAGAAAAUUCAGAAUCUGACAAGUUUGUGUAGGGCAACUGGAUCUAAUCUCUUAGUCGAAGCUUAAUAGGGGCAAAUGCUGAUCAUCUUUGAACCUAUUGAAGGCUCUAAUCUGUGCACAAUUCUAAUGUUUUUGUUUUCUUCAUUUCUUUUUCAACUUUUCAUAAUAGAUGUCAAAAGUUAAAACCGAACUUACGUAGUCCAUCCAAGUGGAUGCAUAUAAAUUUAACAGAAACUGAAAUUUGAAGAAAUUUAUUUUCCCUUUUGUAAAUGGUGUUUAAAAAGUCUGUGUGUAGUUUGGUUUUUUUCCUGGAAGAUCAGAUGAUUUCGUGAUCAUUUUUUCUAUUUGCCUUAUCAUCAUGAGAUUUAAGUAUUUUUUUUAAAAAAAUAUUUUAUUUUCUUAUAUAAUGCAUGUCAGGAUACCAUUCUGGCCUUACAUAAAGCUGAUGGUCAUCUGCUGGCUGGUGAUACCGCAUUUUGAUGGUUCCUAUUAUAUCUAUCAAUACCUAGUUCAUCCACGCUUGUCCAUGGAUCCACAAGUUGUCAUGAAUUGGCUCUUCAAUGAAUCAAAAAAGAAGUUUCAUAGCAGAGAAAACUUUCUUGUUUCAGCAGACCAAUAUAUUAAGGAGAAGGGACCUGAAGCUUUGGAGAAACUACUUGCAAGGAAGGUAUGCCAUUAUAAGUAGGAUUGUCAACAAGUCAAAUAGAGUUUUAUUUGAGAUGUUCAAGUAAAAAAUUACUAUAGCAGGUCAUCUAGAAUUAUUGGUCUAAAUUCAUGUAUAUAUCUAUAUAUAAUUGUGUUCUCUUUUUUUCACAUAUGCAUGUGCAUUUAGAUUUACGUAAUUAUAUAUGCAUAAUCAGAUUCAACUGUGAUAGCCCAGGAUUUAAUUCAGUAAUCAACUCUUCUGGGAACAUGUUGGUUAUGGUUUCUCUCUCACUGUCCUCUU